UUAUAUGACAAUGUUCAAUUCAUGCUUCUGGACUUAUUAAAGUCCAAGAAAACUAUUAAAACAUGUGAUUUAAUAGUGUAAUAACUGUGAAAGUUAUUAAAUCACAUAGUUUAAUAACUUUACUAAACUUUAAUAAAUAAAGUUUAGGAUUUUGAACUAAAUCAGUACUAUUAUUUAUAUAAUAAAAUUUCUUACUAUAAUAACCACGUACACUCAAUUUGAAUCAAAUUAUCUUAAAAUAAACUAACCAGUAACCAUAUCCAAAUAAACAGUGCAUUGCCCAAGACCAUAGCCCAAAUCACUUGAAUCGCCCAAAUCUCCUGCAUUGCCCACCACAACCCUCAUUGUCAGCAACAAAGCUUGCAAUAACAAUCUUGUAAAGAUUAGCUUCAACUCAAAGGUAUGGCUCUCUCACACUAUCACAAGUCUUAAUUGAUUCAUGGAUUAUUAUUGAUAGAAUAGCAGCACUAGGAUAUGUAUUGGCACGAACAAUUCAAAGUUUUUUUAAAGAUUAAUACUUGUAAAAUAUGACACAUUAGGUGUUUGUUAAAAUGCGUCUAAGAAUUUUUUAAUUAUCUCAAUAAUUUUGCAGAGUUAUUCCCUAAUUAUUGCCCCUUUAAUACCAAAAAAGUUACUAAGAUGAAUUUUAAACUUAUUUCAUUUUUUUUUCACAUCUUAGCACUGGUUUUGGGUGAAAUGAGAGCGAUGACUACUAUUGCCAAUGCUCCAUUGCCUACUUUGACAUGAACAAUAGAAUCUAUCGCCUUGAUGUCUCAAAUGUAUAUUUUUUUAUUUGUUUAAAUAUUAUUAUAAUAUUUGUCAUAUCAAAGGAGCUUAAGCUUGUAGAGACGGCAUCAAAGGGGCUUAGAUUGUAACCUUAGGUGAUGUAAUUACAAUACAAGAGUUUUUUCAUAGUUUAUCCAAUCAGAGUUCAUACAUAUAAUAACAUUCACUAUCCAAUCAGAGUUUUUUCAUAGUUUAUCCAACUCUUGCCCAACUCUUGUAGUUGAUGGAGACAAUUGCCUGUGUGAAGUGCGAGCAAUGGCUGCUGUCGCCCAAGUAAUGGAGACCAUUGCCCGUGAGAGAUUUUUCACAUUCUAGGCGAUGGCUUCUAUCACCUGCAAUCUAAGUUUCCUCUAUUAUAUUUUGAAACAAAAAUUCGUUAGAUUUUACCUAAGUCAUGGAUUUACACAAAUAAAUGUCUACCCACAUUGUAAUAGAAAUUAACAAAGACAUUCGUUUCUAUAAAAAAUCAUACAUAAAACUCACUUAAUCUUACAAUCUAAAUUUUAAAAAUACUAACUUAAUUCCUUCUUAAUCCCUUUUUUUUUUUUUUUGGUUGAUUGAUUUUGUCUUCAAUGCUAUGUAAUAAUUGUCUUUUGAUGCAUGUGAGAUGAUAAGUGAAAUGGAAAGAGUUUUGUGGAGUUUACAUUUAAUUGUUGGAGGAAAUUUUAUGGAGUAGAGUUUUAUCAAAUAGAUUUAGUUAGUUUGUUUUAAGGGUAAUUUGAUCCUAAUUAUGUUACAUAGCUAGUUUUAAUAAUAAAUUGAUGAAAAUAAUUAGUUUGGUAAAAUUUCCAUUACAUUUAUGGGACACUUCUUUGGGGCAGUUGGGAGUAAGGAAAGGAACAAAAAAGGGGGAAUUACAUGCUGUGAUGCCAAGAUAUACAGGGUUCCAUAUACCACCUUCAAAGUAAAUGCCUGAUGAAUUUUGCAUAUUGCUAGCCUCAUUCAAUACAAUUUUUAACGCCCCAAAUCAUUCCAUCUGUCUUAAGAGUCAAGAAUUUUGGGAACCCACAACCAUUAGAAACUUUUGAGUGUAAGUCAUAAGCUAAAUUGAAGUUCGAAAGUCUAAAAGGAGACCAAUGUCUUGUUAAACUUUUUGGACCCUAGAGGCCUAGCUUUUUGAGUAAUAGGUCCUAUGAAAUGCCACCGAGGAUAUCAAAUCAUGCACUGUGAACCACAAAAGCUAAAUAAAAAAAUCCUAAACUUUAAGUGUAGAUACACUUUAUGUCAUUGGUAUAUGAACGAAAUCGAAGUUCGUGACUUCUUGGUUUUAUCAUGGUGCAAAGUUGAUAGACACACGAGUGGAAUUCGACAUCAUUCAUUUAGUUUGCUCUAUCUCAAGUUGAAAUACUUAAAAAGUGAUGAAACCCCAUUAUUAACAAUGACACAUUUUCAUGUUGGGAAAAGCCUUUAAAAUUUCUCCAUUAACGAAAAAUUUUACUACGGUACAUUACAUUCGCUCAAACACCAAGUCCAUAUGAUGGGUUUUGUAAAAAAAAAUCAAAAAAACUAAUUUAUUUGAUAAAAAAAAAAAAAAUCUGAGAAUUAGAUGCUUGCGCAAAUACAGUGCAGGUGGAUGGGAUUUAAUUCUGCGUUAGGUAAGAUACUGCGUUCAACGUUCAAAUGAAUCAAAUCUUGACUUAUUGAAUAUAUAGACUACAUAACAAGAUACAGCUAAAUUUGGAAAAGAAAUCUGCAUUUACAAUAUGGUACAUGCUUGAGCUAAAUGAAUCAGAACAAAAAAAAGUAGACUAAUUAAGCAACAGAACUGCCAGAGAAUUUUUAGAGCUGAAUAAUUAAAUUAUCCUGGUUUGGCAGCCUCGUAGAUGCCCAGAUGCUCCAUCCAUUUUACCACCUCCAUAUAAUUAGUUCACCUUUACCUCGCGGCUAAAUCUAAUUAUAUUUUACUCUGUGUCUUAAUUGGGCCAAAUUUAAUGAAUCUAAUCUGAACCUUCGACUUAUAGUUGUGAAUCCAAAAAAAACACCUUAAACCUAAACGGGAUACCCAUCGUAUUAGUUGCAUGGGGAGGUAACUGAGAUCAAGCACAUAUGGAGAUUUCCAUAUUCAUCCAUUCGGAGUCGUGAUAAACUUAUAAAUAAAAACCAAAGGGUAUCGAGGCUUGUAAAACGGUUUUGUUUUAUAAAUCUGUCUAGGUGGAUGAGAGCAUAUCCCCUAUAUGAUUAGAAAAUUGAACCAAUUAUUCAAAGGUAGUUUUAAGAUUUUGACUGGUUUGUCUUAUAAGUGGAAAAGAAGCCCGGUCAAAUAAGCUUUUGACAAGCCUAGCCUAGACUGAGCUUUCUUUCUAGCUAGCCAUGUUAAAGAGAUAAAGCAACAACGACGUUUUUGGACAUCAGUUUGAUUUAAUUAGGACCAAGUAAAGUCUUAAUGUCUUAAUCCUUGUGUUAGUUUAUAAAUAAUCCAACUUCCAACACAAAAGAUUGAGAAUUAAACAAUAAAAACGAAGUUUGGAAAGAUUCAUUUACGCAUGUGUGUACAACGGCACACCCAGAAGCGAAGGAUUAUAGGAAGAAAAAGCGGAGAGAACGAAGGGUUACAACCAAUUUAAUCAUAUGAUCCUAUACAAGAAUCUUCUGAUAAAUAUCAAGUUAAAAAAAAGGCCAAUUAUUGGUCAUCAACUCAUUGUCUAAUUAAUCCACCAUCCAAGUAUCUCAUUCUGAGUUACUAAAGAAUUUGAUAAAGCUCCUCAGUCAAAAUCAGCAAGUUAUACACAUCCUCAGGGGGGAAAAGAAUUAUUGCAUCAAAUGCUAAAGUUUCACGUGAGGUAGGAAUCUUGAAAGCAUAGAUUGAUAGAACUCCGUUCAUUCGUUGUGUCAAAUUUUUGGCUAUCUAAUCAACAUUUCAUUUUCACCAAAAACGUGCAGAGACUAAAUUCUUGCCAUAUUCUACUUAAUGGAGCGAGUGUCCUUGACUCUUUUUUUUUCCCCUCUUUUUUGAACUUUGUUGGAGUGAUGCUAUUCUACCCUCUCAUUACAGACAGUGCUUUGGUUGUCAUCUACUUAAAAGCACUUUUAUUUAAGCGCUUUUUUGAAAAUGAUUAAAGAAACAAGUGGAGUUCUUAGUGAAGAAGUACAAGAUAAAUAUUACCUUAAGAAGCCAUGCCAAUUGCCAAAUGCUAUCACGAGAACCUUCGCAAAGUAAAGGCACAAAUGCUUCUUUAAAAAGUGCUGUUUAAUCUUACGUAGAGCAAAUUAUGUAAUAGUGUAGAUGCUUCUCUGAAAAAUGAUGGAUUCUCAUAUUGCUAGAAGCUAUCAAGUAACAGCACUUCUAAAGUGAAUUCGGUGAUACACCCUUAAUUUCAUUGUUUUGCAACUAUCGUGUAAGUUUAAAAGAGAGAAAAAAAGCCACUUGGGCUUGUAGCCAAGUGGUGAACAAUUGCCCCCAAAGUUAAGCAUGACUAUGAGGGCAAUGGUUCGAGUCCUCACGGACUCAAUCUCCCUCAAUUAAAUAUAAUUAUGUGGAGACUUCUUAUAACGUCUUUCUCCCUUGCGAAAUGCGAGUGGAAUAGAGACAUCUCUCCUCCGUGAGAGGUAUUUGGAUGAACAUGUACUUUAUAGAAUAAAAAUGUAAUAAUAAAAAUCUCAUGUAUAUAUCUGAUUGUAAAUAUCAGUGUAAUGACCUCCUGUCAUAGUAGUUAUAUAUAUUUAUGUAUAAUACAAUAAGCUGAUGCUUAAUCAGUAAAAAAAAAAAAAAGAUCAAUUUAAACGAUGAAGCUUUUCGCUGUUCAUUCAAACAUUUUCACUAAUCCCAAAGAUUUGUCUUCAGAGAAAGACUUUUUAAUCUCAAGACGGUCACUCUUGCUAAUUUUGUGCACAAAAACGGAGCAAAAUUCAAGACGUCAGUUGCAUGUCCACUUUUUUCCCACGACCCAAAACAAAGAUAAAGAAAGAGACAAUCGAGAAUAAUGGUGACAAGUCAUUUUCAAUUUUCGAUGGUGGUAAGUCCAAUUGACAUGAAAGGCCACCUUCUCUUGAAAGGAAUUAUGAAGCCAUUAAAAUCCUGGACACAUGGCUUGCAUUUGGUGUUGCAUUGAGAAUGCGCCCCGCCCCCCACAACAAUCAAACAANNNNNNNNNNNNNNNNNNNNNNNNNNNNNNNNNNNNNNNNNNNNNNNNNNNNNNNNNNNNNNNNNNNNNNNNNNNNNNNNNNNNNNNNNNNNNNNNNNNNNNNNNNNNNNNNNNNNNNNNNNNNNNNNNNNNNNNNNNNNNNNNNNNNNNNNNNNNNNNNNNNNNNNNNNNNNNNNNNNNNNNNNNNNNNNNNNNNNNNNNNNNNNNNNNNNNNNNNNNNNNNNNNNNNNNNNNNNNNNNNNNNNNNNNNNNNNNNNNNNNNNNNNNNNNNNNNNNNNNNNNNNNNNNNNNNNNNNNNNNNNNNNNNNNNNNNNNNNNNNNNNNNNNNNNNNNNNNNNNNNNNNNNNNNNNNNNNNNNNNNNNNNNNNNNNNNNNNNNNNNNNNNNNNNNNNNNNNNNNNNNNNNNNNNNNNNNNNNNNNNNNNNNNNNNNNNNNNNNNNNNNNNNNNNNNNNNNNNNNNNNNNNNNNNNNNNNNNNNNNNNNNNNNNNNNNNNNNNNNNNNNNNNNNNNNNNNNNNNNNNNNNNNNNNNNNNNNNNNNNNNNNNNNNNNNNNNNNNNNNNNNNNNNNNNNNNNNNNNNNNNNNNNNNNNNNNNNNNNNNNNNNNNNNNNNNNNNNNNNNNNNNNNNNNNNNNNNNNNNNNNNNNNNNNNNNNNNNNNNNNNNNNNNNNNNNNNNNNNNNNNNNNNNNNNNNNNNNNNNNNNNNNNNNNNNNNNNNNNNNNNNNNNNNNNNNNNNNNNNNNCUACCCCCAAAAAAAAAGAAAAAGCAGAAAUGAUUUUUGUUGGUAUAGUCAAAUCAUCCAAGCAACUCUAUCUUUCAACAGAAGGGCUAGCUUUCAAAAAGAACUAGUAUCAAGCAAAACUUCAAUUAUAACCUAAAAUAUCUUGCAAGAUUUAGUGAAUGAUAUUUUUACACAGGUAUAAAAAUUUCAUAACAAGUAAGAAGCAGCUCAUAGUAAUAGCCCAUCUAAUGCUCCAUCUGUUUUCCAUUUGCAAGGGUCCUACUUCCUACUUCCCACCUUUGGGAAAGCUAUCUUUUAGUGUGACUGUCCGGUUGAAAACAAGUUUCUCCGGAGUGGAAUCCUUAUCAACUGCAAAGUACCCUGAAUUGCAGAUUGAAAUGGGUACAAAAUGUUAGAUUUGCAUACAAUAACAAAAUGCAAAAACACUGUUAUGGAACUGCAGUUAUGCCACAUGUUCCUCCAAUAUCAAUCCAUCUCAUGGUUGCAACUCAUUCAGUACCCAAUAACAUCAUCAACAACACACGUGGUUUUCUGAGAUUACCUAGCCUUUCAAAUUGGAAUCUGUCCCCGACAGCAGCACUGUGAAGUGAUGGUUCUGCAUAUGCUUCAGGAAUCACCACUUUGGAAUCCGGAUUCAAAUCAGAAAGCCAAUCAUCAAGUUCUGCAGGAUUCUGAAGCAACAAUCGGAUAACUCAUUAAAGCUCAUAGCAAUUUCUAGAGGAAAUAAAACACAAUAAGGAAAGUACAGGAAAUUCGCAAUAGACAACCUCAGAGUUGAACAAUUUUUCAAACAAUCUGACUUCCACCCUUAGUGGAUUGACACCAGGGGAAGGCUCAGCAACCCAGUGAAGAACUCCCUGUGCAACAAAGUUCAAUUUUAAAAUUGAAUAAACCAAAAAUGUGCAGAAUACUUGCACGAUUUUCCAACACACUACCCGCAGCCACAUUUAAACAACAAAUUCCAGCGUGACAAGAAAUAAAAGAUAAGAAGACCUUUGGUUUUGUCUUUUUGGAAGGAUCAUAUUCAGCCCGGAUGUGAAGAAUGGUUUCUUUAUCAUCAGAUAAAAUCACUUCCGUGCACUUUAUAGGGAAUGCAUAUCUGCAGGUAUAAAAUGUUUCACCAUACAGAACCAAAUUCUGCUUAAAUGUAUUUGAAAACUUGAAUUUACAAUACAAAAUACAUACCUGAGUAGGACAGAUUUACCAGGAGCAAGGCCAUAAUAAUCUUUUGAAUCUUUCAUUCGAAAAUCAGAAUGCUCAAUGUACACAACGUUUGAAAAGGGAACCUAAAGUGAGCAGAGAAUGUCGUAGCAGUGAAAGAUCAGUUAUGAUUGAAAUAUCAAAUGUGCAGCCAAUUCAAAUGAAGAUAAGAUGCUCACAACAAGCUUGAAGCAAGUCUUGUUAAUGAUAUUCAUAAAUCUCUAACAGAACUGAAGAGUGAAAUACAACCAUAGAUAAAUAUUCUAAUCAAUACAAAAUUCAACCAAACUGCUGUCUGGUUAGCAUGAACCAGAAACUUCUUUUCACAUGUCACCAAAACAAAAUUUGAGCUCAAAUUCUUAAAUGCAGCAGCCAAAUCAUGCAGACUUAGAUAAAUUUUAAAAAUCAUUUUCCCCUCUUGAAAUAGAAGAUUGUAAUUUAGCUUUUUAUUCAAAAAUCACCUUGUAGAAAGCUGAUGCAUCAUCUGCUUGAGCAUCAGGCCAUCUUUUGGCGUCAAGAUGCAUAAUUGUGCCAGAUUCCAUGUUAGUAAUAACCACCUGAAAGCACAGAGAAUACCAUUUGAACACUGGAACUAGAUGCUUCCAAGGAAACAAUAGAGAAAAGAUGCAGACCUUGAGAGGAUUCAACACAACCAUUGUGCGAGGUGCUGUUUUGUUUAGUUCCUCUCUUAUAUGAUACUCCAGGCGAUCCAAACGAAUUAGACUAUCACUGCACCACAUGGCAUGGCAAAUAGUUAGGAAAUCAAAGCAUAAUAAAUAUUAUAACCUAUGAUAUCUCAAUAUACGAACAGAGUAUGUAAAAUUCAACCUUCGUGAGAUUCCAAUCCCUUGAACAAAAGCAUUAAUAGAAGUUGAAGUCACACCUCUACGUCUUAGACCAGCUAGUGUCAUAAGACAAGGAUCAUCCCAACCAUCAACAUAUUUGUUUGUUACCAAAAAGUUUAACUGCAACAGCAUAAAACAAUCAAUUAAUGUCAGAUUUCUUGUAAAAUUACACAAUCAAAUACAUUCUGAAGCUUCUGCAUAAAAAUGUCAUGGUUGCUCACCUUGCGCUUGGACAUCACAGUGUUUGAAACAUUCAACCGUGAGUACUCCCACACAUAAGGUUGAUAAAGGCCCAAUGCAUGUAAUAACCAAAAAUAAGAAGCACGUCGUGUCUCAAAUUCAAGUGUACAGAGCUGCAUUGAGCAUAAAGAUUGAACAAAAAUGAAAAUAAGCCUUCAAAAAAUUAACAGAAGGUAAAGAAGUCACCAAAAAGUAGAACCACUCUUUUUUCAUUUUUUUUUUCUCCGACAAGGUAUUCACAGCAUUCUGGAAUUUGACACCCUAUAUUUCUACUCUAGUGGGUUUAGCAUAGUAAUAAUAAACCGAGCUCAGGUGCUGACUGGAUAGGAGGGAAAACAUGUAGAAUAUUUUCAUUUUGUACACAACAAUCGAAGGGAUGAUUGGAACAUUUUAAAUGUCACUAAAAAGAUAGGUAUGGACCUCAAAAUAUGUAAAUACUGAUAAACUGACACCAAGAAUAUUGUUUUAAAAACAUGCAACAAUAAAGAAAAUAGCAAAGAAAAGUAUAACACACCGAAUGCGUAAUAUUCUCAAUAGAAUCCACAAUGCAGUGAGCAUAAUCAUAACUUGGAUAGAUACACCACUUGUCACCUGCAUGUGGAUGAGGAGUAAACUGCAACAAGAGAACGUCAGGGCACUAAAAUAUGAGGAUCUGCGAAUGUUAAAGGUAACUAAAGAUAAUCACAUUAUAGUGCAUACCUUGAUUCGAUAAGCAAUGAGGUCAUACAUGUUAAAAUUGUCAUUUUGCAUGUCCUGUUUCAUCCUAAGUGUUGCUUUACCUUCCUCGAUCCGGCCAUUUCUCAUGUCUUCAAAUAGUUUCAAUGAUUCUGCAAUUGGUCUAUCCCUCCAUGGGCUGUUCAUUUUCUUUUCCCUGUACUCCUUGAUCUCUUCGGGAGUCUAGAAAAAGUAAUACAAUGUCCAAUCAGUUACAAUACCAAUGUGAAUAAAAAGCCAAAUAAAGAUGACCAUUUCCUUGACAAUUUUCUUAUCGGUAUAAGAAUUCAGAAAUCACAUCAUCACAAUUUGAUAAUAUCCAAAUUUAACUGACUCUACAAAAAGUGGGAGGGUAAAAGAUAGUGCUUUAGAAGUGAAUUGAACGGAAGAGGAAGAAUUUACUCUUUAAAAUGUCAUUAAGCAAAGAAGCUAUGAAUAUAUUUGUAUAUACCUGAUGAUCAACAUAGGCGUGACCUCUCCUUAUCAGCUCCACGGCUAAUUCAUACAGUUCUUGGAAAUAGUCACUGGUAUAAGUGAUCUGGCAUAAAUUCAGCAGAUAUAUGGUGUUAUGAAAUCUAAGCACAUAUGCAGCAUGAAUAUGCCGUUGCCAUUAACAAUGAUACCUUGAAUGGCUCCCAACCCAUCCACUGAACUAUUUCUUCAAUAUGGUCAAUAUAUUCUUUCUUCUCGGCUUCGGGGUUUGUAUCAUCAUAUCUGAAGAGCAAGAGAUCAAUAAACAAAACUCAUCGCUUUUCAAUGAUGAAGAGCAGUCCAAAUUUCUGAUUUCAAUGAACUAUUUAUGGACACAAGUUUUGAUCAUGCAGAUGCAAUACCAAAGCUUUAAACCAACUCUAUCUGACCUCCUAAAGAAUGAGCCAAAGAAAUAGAAAAUGAUAUAUACCAACUAGAAAUCACUAAGAUGAUAGUAAAUUGAUCCAACCAUGGUCAAAUACAAGAGCAACCAAAGAAAUUUCUGACGACACAAUAAAUAAAUAGAAAAGGAAAUUUAAAGCAAACAUACAAGAUAAGAAAAAAAAUAUUGUAUCUAAGUUUAUCAUGCUUUGGCACUUCAACUCCAUUUUUCAAUUACAAAUGCUUUAUGGUCUACAUACUUCCAAAACAAGACAUACUCCAUUUGAUUAUGUUUCCUUCCAAAAACCAAUAACUUUAAUAAAAGGAAGGAUGAAGCUUUUCGGCAUAAAAAAUUCCUGAAGUGAGAUCCACGUCCUGGAGCACACAUAAAAUUAUUAUUAUGUCUACUUUAAAUAUUGCAUGAAUGGAACCAAACCCUUCUCCGCCGCAGACAUCUUAUAUCACCCCAAGAGAUUUUUCCAGUUGAACGCAACUUGUUUUAUAAUUCUAAUAUGUUAACAGCUGAAGUUGAAAAUGUCUGAGGUGGGGCCUUGCCAGUGUCAAUCUAAAAGUCUGUGUUGAAGCAAGACUAGUAGCAGUAAUUAGUACAAACAAGACACCCAAAUUUUAGGAGUAAGAGCUCAAGAUAAGAAAAGUUUAUAUCCCUUUUCACUCUUACACACACAUACAAAUACGGAGCAUUCAUAAAAAUGGACAAGAACAUCUACAACCAGCAAUUAUCAUGUAACAAGACCAAAUUAUAAGACGAAUCAACAUUUUGAACAUAUUGAUAAAUAUCAAUAGAAACCAAGAACAUAAAAAGAUGGAAGGAGCAAGUUUGUGUGCAGACAUCUUAUUCAACCACUGAUAACAAUGAGGAAAUAAUUGUUUUAAUUAUUAUCUGGAAAACUGAUCCACUUCUUUCUUUUUCUUUUUUUUUUAACCUUGAUAAAUUCUGUGCUGACCAAAAAAAAAAAGAUGAAAAAUCCAAUCUUAGAAACUGUGGGAUGGCAAAAGAUGAAACAACCUAAACAUUACAAUUACUGCAUAGGGAAAUAUUAUGCAAAUAAGUAUAUUUAGAAAAUCAAGAAAAAAGCAAUUGAUUGAAAAAAAUAACAUUGAAUAUAAAAUUAUAUAAAGCUCCAUCAUAUAGUCAAAGAAACACCAAAGAGGAAAUCUCACCUUAGGUAGCAAUAUCCACCUCUCUCUUUUGCCAAACCAAAGUCAACAAACAUUGCCUGGAAAAGCAGUAAAAUAUGAGGAAUAACCAUGUUUCAAGCCAGUAGCAAUCACAAAUCUUAUUCUCUAUUAUUUCUUUUACCGGUCAUCUCAAACCUAGUAUGAAAAAAAAGCAAUUACCUUUGCAUGACCAAUAUGUAGAUAACCAUUUGGUUCAGGUGGAAAGCGAGUUAAGACAUUCCCCCCAGUCACUUCCAAGUGCUUGUCAAGCACCUCUUUCGUAUUGCAGCAUAUCAACACAGAGCCAUCACUGAAGGGUAUCUCAGUAUGUACCUGCUAAACCACAAAGGAGAUAUCUAAAAACUUAUAUUAUGCACACAUACAGCAAAUUUGCAGGAUCAUAAACCAGUGCUCGAGCAAAUGAAAUCAAUCAUAACCCAAAAUGCUGAACUCAGUUUCAAUUUUGCAAGUAAUAGCCCAAGUAAUAUCAUGCAAUUAGCUUUUUCACCAUUCUUAAUCUUCUUGUUUCUUUUUCCUUUUCCGGCUUCUAUUGGUUUCUUUUUCUGUUUUUUUCCUUUUUAUUCCUUUUCUGGUAGUUCAACAAUUAUCAAUUUCAAACAAUAAACAAUGGUAACUAUGAAAUAUCUCCAUAUGUAGUUUUUUUCAUUACCCUGGCAACAAAAGACAAGACAGAAACUCUGGCAUCAUCAUCAUCGUCACCAUCUUCAUAAUAUUAAUUGUAAACAAUAAAAAAUAAAUAAAUAAAUAAAUGGUGCACAAAAAUACAUGAACAAUGUAUGUGAAGGCACAAAACGAAAUUCACCUUGUAGUUCUCUUCUGGUGGAGGGAAAUUCGAAAUUGGAAAAAGAUCUUCUUCAGGCAGCUGCACAGGAGCAUCAUUUGCAAAUUUUUUAUCCUACAAGAACACAGUGAGUAGAAAAAUGGAGAAAGGUUACAACUCUAUUUACAAGAAGAAACAGUCUGUAUCCAAAAUACGUAAAGAAUGUACAAAUCCACACCUCAUCUUUUUCAGGCUUUUCCUUCUUCUCCUUCUUCUCCUUCUUUUUAGAAAGCUUCUCAAUAUCUGCUGCUGUCCUUUCACCAAGUAAUUCAUACAUUCUAGCAUCUAUGAGUUGCUGUCAAGGAAGAAGACAAAAAAAUCAAAGAAACAUUAGAAGGAAAUAUCUAUAUUCACUUGAAAAUCAAUCAUUCUGAUUCUAACUACUAACUUUCACAGCAAAAAACAGUUCACCUUGACAAUCUUGGGAUCAGCCCAUGGAAGCCUCUUCCGGACAUGUGCAAACAAAUCACCCACUAGAAAAUAAUUGAAUUUGAUGGAAAAAUGUUCAUCAGAAUGGUAGAGAAGUCAGUAAAGUAGAUGAGUGAGUUCAGAGGGAAAAGAAUAAUAUAAAAUCACAAAAGCAUACAGUCACAGGAAUGGAUGAAAAUGAAACAAGUUAUUAGCUUGUUAAGUACAAAAAAGUAUUAUUGGAGUGAUUCACUAUGGCACACAUUCAACUGAAAACUAGAAAAAGAACAAGAUAAGCAAAGGACCCUGCUUGCUGAGCACAAACAUGUGCGACGCAUGGCUGUCUGUUUGUGCGAAUAUAAACUACAGUCUGCUUGUGUGCAUGUGACUAUGCCUGUCCACACACAUGUAAGCCGGAGAAGGAGGUUUACUAUUUAAAAAGUAACACCCACAACUCCAGCCCUCCACCUACCCCCGAACCUCCUCUGGUGUGUUUGUGACUGGAAGAACUAUAACUUGUCUAAAAUUGACCCUAUAAAAAAAAUGCAUCCCUAUUUGCAUCUUGCUUGUAGAAAGAUUAAUUGUUACGCUACCAAACAACAUUAUCAGACCUAAAAAUGAUACUAGAAAACAUGCACCAAGAUCAUGAUCAAGCAUGCCAUAAUUAAAGUGAAGUUAUUCCCAAAAUAAUUUAGAAUCAAACACUGACCAUUAGUUCGAUAACGUAGCUCUAAAAUCGUGUUCUUGUUCUCUUCAAAUACUUCAUUAACAGUCAGUUCGAUAUCUUCCGAGGAAACUUCAACCCCUGUUGAGUUCAAAAUUACAAUGAAGUAAUCAAUGAUUAUAAGAAAUGUUGGAAAUAAGGUAAAUGAAACAAACAUUUAAAGUGACAGUAAAAUUAGAUUAAAUAGAAAAAUUAGAUUAAAUAGAAAAAACAGAGUUACAAUUCUAAGAGACUAUAGGCACAUCAUUCCAUAAAAGAAUGCAGAUGCAGAAAUCGCAAAACAGUAAAUUACGAUGCAAUCCUAGUCCAUUAAACAUAGUGUGUCAGAAUAAGGGCUCAUUUCAUCAUACCAACACCGCAGGCUUCUUCAAAUUCAUCCACUUCAAAAUUUUCUGAACCAGUACUCGCAAAAAAUGAGAAUGCUGCUUCUAACUGGGCUGGGGUUUUAAUCUGCAAACAAGAAAUUGUAAGCCAAACGAUAACAUCCAAAACCUUUUUCUCAAAGAAAAAUCACCUCAUUUUUAUUCAAACUUUAAUUCACAAUGGAAUAAAGAAAACUAACACAUAUAAGAAACCAAUUACUCUAAGAUGCGAUUUCGUAGCAAACCUUUGAGGAGACAAUAUACAGCAGCAAAGUUGGACGAUGUACAAGUGCGUUUGUCGGGUACUUCGUAGCAACCUUUCAAGCACGCGCACACACAAAAAUAAUAAAAUAAAAUAAAUCAAUGAGUAGUUUUAUCUCAUGACAGGGUGGGGACAAAAUCCAGAGGUUAAAGCAAAUUCAAAAGCGCAAAAAUUUCUCUCAUCUAGACUAGAUAAACAAACACUAAGUUGAUGUUUAUAUUCCAGCAACUUUUAAUUCGAAGAAAAAGAAAAGACAACGCUUGGCUAAAGUGAAUCACGUAAUAAAUAACAUACCGUGUAAAGCAAAUUCCCAAUCCUUCGUUCACAUCCGUCGGUAACAGCGGCCUGGAAUUAACAAUAAGAAAAUUAAAAGAAAAGUUGCAUGGGCAUCAAAAACUAACAAAAACGAAAAUGACUAUGAAUAAGAAAUAUCCAUCAAAAUUCAAAAGUGACUUGACCAAAGAACAUGCAAAAAUACCUCAUGAAUGACGGCAGUCAGAUUGGCGGUAACUUUGUUAUUAGCAAUUGUGUUUUUGGCCGUUCGAUCGUCGAGGCCGAUUUUUAAGAACAACUCCAGGAUUUCCGAUUUGUCGCCCUUAGAAACCCCAACCAUUGUUGUUUCAGCGGCUCUACGGUAUCGUUUUAGGGCGUGGGGGAGGAGAGUGAGGAGGUGCCUGAAGAAUGCGUGGGCUUUAAAACCCUGGUAAAGUAGUUGUAGAAGAGGAUUGUUAAUAAGGAAGGAAUCACGAAUCAGGGUGCGUGCGUUUUUCUUGCCGAGUGAUUAACAGAAUCUGCGUGAGGGAAUCUAUUGAUUAUUAUUGAAUUUAUUUAUAUUAUAACUUGUAUUUUUGUGCUUGGGUCAGCUGUUGGCCCAUUGCUUGGUAACUUGGCCUUCAAGGAAAAGGAAGCAUCUUGGGAAUUUUUAUUUUUUCAUACUUCUUUUUAACAUUAAAAUAUUAAGAAUUUAUGCCGGUGAUAUUUCCACCUCCCAUCACUCAUCACAUUCUCGUUCUCCAUUUUCAUUUAAAAUAAAAUAACAUACUUUUAGGUUCAUGUUGCAGUUUUUAAAAUAAUUAUUGUGAAGUUAAUCAUAUGUGUUUUGAUAAUUUUAUUAUUCUUUUAUGAGCCAUUAUUUUUAUUUUUAAAUAUAUUCCAAGCCCCUUUUGGAAAAGACUAUGAAAAGAAUUUGACCACAUUUAAAUUUAAUACAAUGUUUAUAAAUUAAUGAUAAGAGUUCUAUUUUUAUGGUUUUGAAGACCUGGGUUCAAAUCUCAAUAACCACAUAAUUUAUUUGUUCUCUAAAUUUACAAUAAAUUUUUUUAACCAAGGCUCCCUUUCUGCUGUACGGCCAAGGCNNNNNNNNNNNNNNNNNNNNNNNNNNNNNNNNNNNNNNNNNNNNNNNNNNNNNNNNNNNNNNNNNNNNNNNNNNNNNNNNNNNNNNNNNNNNNNNNNNNNNNNNNNNNNNNNNNNNNNNNNNNNNNNNNNNNNNNNNNNNNNNNNNNNNNNNNNNNNNNNNNNNNNNNNNNNNNNNNNNNNNNNNNNNNNNNNNNNNNNNNNNNNNNNNNNNNNNNNNNNNNNNNNNNNNNNNNNNNNNNNNNNNNNNNNNNNNNNNNNNNNNNNNNNNNNNNNNNNNNNNNNNNNNNNNNNNNNNNNNNNNNNNNNNNNNNNNNNNNNNNNNNNNNNNNNNNNNNNNNNNNNNNNNNNNNNNNNNNNNNNNNNNNNNNNNNNNNNNNNNNNNNNNNNNNNNNNNNNNNNNNNAAAUGGAAUUAGCUCGAUUUGCCACUCGUUGUAAGAAUGUAAAUGACAUAAUAAGACAUAAUGUUGAAUAAAAAUUAUUUAUAUAUUUAUAAACAUAUAUAUAAUACUUUUUAUUAGGUAUAUACAAUAAUUGAUAAUGAAAAUAAAUAUUUUGUAUAAUUAAUUUUAUCAUUUUUAUUUUGUUAUCUCAAUAUAAUUGAUAACAUUAGUAAUCUCUUAAUGAUUUUAUUUCCUAAUUAAUGAGGAUUUUAGACUUUUAUAAUACAUAUGAAAAUAUAUGGUAUUGUAUUUGAGUAUAGAACUUAUUCUCAAAAUAAGAUCUUGAAAAAUUAUUCCUUCAUUAGCUAUAAAAUAAUUUUAAUUUAAUUUUGUUGUUUCAUCAUAUGAUCCUCUCUCGAUAUCUUCUCGCUCAACGCUAUCCCAUCAAAAGUUUCAUAGUUAGCGAUACACUCACAUUGGUCACCACCCUAAAUUUAAAUACUCUUCAUAGUUUGUGGAACAUACUAUUAAACGGAGCUUGCUACAAGAUAAUAAUAUACAGUAGUACACUACAGGCCGCUCAUUGGACAUUUUCAAUAAUAAUAUAAACUCCUUAUAACUUUGUAAUGUCUUAAACCAUUCCCUUUUUUUUUUUUUUUAUUGGUGGGUGGGGGGGAAUGUCAGCUUCCACAUUCAUAUAACGACCGUCCAAUGCCAGAUGUUGGUGACUAUCCAACUUAUGCUGAUAGUAAUUAAUGAGAUUGAAAAUUUUGAGAAAAUAUAACUGCAAUUGCGAUGAGGAAGAAAAAGAUGGAGAUGAGGCGGAUAUGCCAGUGCUGCUCCCUCAUAUUAUUGAUCAGUAUAUGAUGCAAUAACGAUUAUGGGAAAGGGAAUUAUUUUUUGGGACCUUAAUCUUUCUGUUGUCUCAUUGUAUCUUCUUGUUGAGUGUUUGAAUACUCUCAACCCAGUUUUCCAGCCACUGCUUUUGAAGACAAUUUAGAGACUAAGUUUUGAGAAUCUAUGAUGUUGAGUGGCCGAAAAUGGUGAAAUCAUUGAAGAAUGUACCAAGUAGAAUUGCGAUUACAACUGAUCUGUGGAUUUGAGAAAAACCAAUAUGACAAAUUCAUGGAGGUUACGGCAGAGCCGAAAAAUGAGGUACAAUGUUUCUAAUAUUCAGCCAAUUAGUGAGUAUGUAAGAAGUUGAUAUAUUCUAAGUAUAAUCUUUAGUUACAUUUUUUAUUAUGCUAUGAUUUUAUUCGACUGAAUUCAUUGUCUUUAAAAAUGCUAGGUUUAUGCACUCGGAGGAAUACCCAGAAUAUGAGGCGACACAUGCUGAUGCAUUGACAGAGUGCUUUAAUUUCGGGACUGGAAUGUUGACUGUAAGUUGUCUACUUUGACUCUAGGUAAUUGUAUAAAAUUUGACAAAAGUUCAAGAUUUUAUUGCAUUACUAACUCCUCGCUGUUUAUUAUGAUACAAAUGAAUAUGACAGCCCAACAUGUUUUUGAUCCAAAUGUGUUGAGGAAAUUGAAGGCCGAGGCCCUAAUCUUACAUCAAUUGCCUAUUUCUAUUGUUAAUGCAGAACUUUAUGGAAGCUAUUUGACUACUCUAAACCCAUUGUGGCAGCCAAUGUCUGUGCAGACAAUGAGAGAUGAAAUUUUGAAAGUCUAUGCUGCUUUUGUAAAGAAAAUUCAGAGUAGAAUUGCAAUUACAACUGAUGUGUGGAUCUGUGGUAACCAAUAUUACAAAUUUAUGGCAAUUACAGCAUAUUUUAUAGAGGACUCUUGGAUUUUGCAAAGCUGGAUUCUGAGGUACAAUGUUUAUAGUUUUCAUUGAUCUAGUUAGUAGUUACAGUUGAGCAUGCUAUUCCAUUAUCUUCUGUUACAUUUUAGAUAAUGCCGUGAUCUAAUUUCAUUGUAAAUUUUUUCUUAAUUCUACAUGCUACGUUUAUGUCUUUGGAAAUCCCAGAAUGUUAGAAUACAUGUGCUGAUGCAUUGAUGGGGUGCUUUAGGUCUUGGAAUGUUGACAGUAAGUUGUUUCCUUUGACUGUAGAUAGUUACACCACUGAUGGUAUGAAGAUCCAAAUUCUUCUACAUAAGCUUUUUCAUACUUCACUUCUGUUGGGUGGAAAACAUAUGCAUUGCUUUACAUGUACUGCAAAUUUGAUCGUGAAAGAUUAGCUGGAAGUGCUUGGAUAAAGUACUGACGAGAUUCAUAAUAGCAUUUACUAUUGGACAUCAACAAAAGAAAGAAAAAAAAAAUGAGGAUAAUGCUCAUCAAUUAUGCAUUUCAUUUAAUAAAAAGUUGGUAGAAGAAAUGUGUGACAAAUUAAAAAUUUUUGUUGCAGCUACUGAGAUGUUUUACAGAACUAAGUAUGCUAAACCAGCAAUUUUUUACCCACACUUUGUGGUAUCAGAUUACCAAUGUCUAAGUGGUCACAUCUAGGUAUGAUGAGAUCCAGAAGGUAGCAGCAAAUAUGAAAACAUAGUUUGAGAAGUAUUGCAAUGAUACUUAUGAAGUAAUGGUCAUAUCAACUGUUUUGGACCCAAGAUUUAUUAUGAAAAUUUUUGGAGUAUAUAUUUCCUGAAAUUCAUGGAGAUGAUUCUUCAAUUGAGAUUGAGAGAGUUCAUGGAUUUUGUUACAAAUUGAUGAAAGAGUGCCAAUUGAAAUCUAUAGAUCGCAUGAAGAAACUCAUUAUGUCGAUGACUUCUCAAAUUCUUUUCCCCUGUCAGGGUUGGUUCAUUCUGGAAAUGAGCUAGACCCUUCAUUAAAAUUUGAUUUGUUUGUGUCUAGUACCGCAACUACUACCUUCACUGCUAUUGAGAAUCCCAAGUCAGAGCUAGACAACUAUUUGAAGGAAAAACUCCUAACCAGGACUCAUGACUUCAAUAUAUUGACUUGGUGGAAGAUAAGUGGGAUUAAGUAUCCUAAGUUAUGUAAUAGUGCUAGAGAUAUUUUGGCCAUCCCUGAGUCUACAAUGAUCUCUGAGUUUGCUUUCUGUGUUGAUGGUAAAUUUUUGCAUGAAAGUCAAAGUGCACCGCUGAAGAUAUAUUAGGCCAUAGGGGAUGCUCAAGAUUGGCUAUGGGGCUGAUAAGGAAUGUAUGUGAGCAUAACCAUGUUAUGGAUUUAAUAUUUGGUGCUUAUUUUUACAUUAUCAACUUUUUUUUUUUUCCCUUUUCAGAUUCAUGCUCAACAAGAUAUUCUGGGGGUUGCUGUUCUCAUGGCAGUAAUGAAGACGAAGAAGCCGAUCGCCACGAUGGAGACGGAGAAGAAGAACCAAAACUAAAACAAGAAAAUUAUGAGGUUAAUGAUAUUGUUAAUAUUGUUUCUAAAUAUGACUGGCGCUGAAUCAAUGAAGAUAAAACUGAAUCUACAUUUUCCUUUUCAAUAAUUAAAGGAAACGCGAUGUACGGAUUCUUAAGAAGGGAUCCCAUUGCAUUGGUGAUGACAAAAACAAGGAAGACUGCUAUUUUGUCUUUAUAUAUGUGUUGAGUGUAUUGUAAUGAUCUUGUUCAUGAUAGUACAAUUGAGCGGAUUUUAUAUCAGAAAAUUUUGUCGUAUUGGGUCCUUUUAUUUAUAUUAUUAUUAUGAUUUAGGAGAAAAUGCUUUGCCGGUUUUAGGGUACGUUUGGAAUUGAAGUUGGGCACAUCAUUAAAGUAUUUGAUAAACAUUAAUUAUUUUUUUUUAAAAGUUAUAUUGAUAUGAUUUUUUUACUUGUAUAAUAAAAAAUCUAUUACAUUUUGAAUAAUUUUUUCAAAUUUAUUUAUAUUUAUUAUAUAUUAUUAAUUUAUAUUUCAUAAUUAUAACUUUUUCUUCACAGUAACUAUAACUUAAAAGUUAUAACACCUCAGUACCAAACAAAACUUUAAUAUUUUGUUUUACUAGAUAUAAAUCUUCAUGUCUAAAGACUCUGAUUACUAAAUAAGUAAUGAGGAUGAACAAGAAUAAUCAUCAUCUCAUUAGUGUCGGCUUAGAGAUAAAAAUGUAUUUGGAUGGCAUCUAUCUCCAACUUCAAUUCUUUGAAAAUCACACUACUCUUUUGGGGGAAAGUCAUAUUCACUUAAAAAUAGCUCAAAUUAAACAAAAGAAUAAAAGCCGUAAAAAUUGUGAAAUACUAAGUUGGGAUUAUUAACAACUACUGAAUGAUAUCCGAAAGGUUGAAACUCUCUUCACUUCUUUUCUUCUAUACAUUUCUAAUUAUUCAUACUAAAAUAUAAUCAAAAAGCCUGAAAGAAACUGCUGUUAACUCCAGCCCUGUACAAGUGCAACUCUUUUGAUUGAGAAGCUAUGGUAAACUCCAUGUAGGCAGGCACAAACAAAACCUCACCCUCUUCAACUAUCUGUUCUUUAGAAAACCCUGCAGAUAGUGUACCAUUCCCGGAAAUGAAGAGAAAAAGAGAUGGUCCGGCUACUGAGGGAAAGACCAGUGAUGCAGCCUGAGGUAUAACGCAGCAAUCCACUUCAAAUUCUUCGAAUGGUGGUAGAUACCUUGUUGUGUAUGGAUUCAAGGAGAUUCCUUUCAAGAUUUGCGGAAAACCCUGCAAUGAGAAACAAAUAACUCUUCAGAUUGUACUAUGGGGAGCCAAAUUAUAAAUCGUUCUAAUCAAAAGGAAUUUCAAUGGUUUGUCUAUGCAAAAUUCAGGACAUAAAGUUCACAUGUCAAAGGGAAAUGAAAUAGUAACCUGCAAAUGUAUAUACUUGUAAAUCAUUAGGUAGGUUAUCAACAGCAAAUACAGAUCCCAAAAGGAAUGAAUACCAAUCUAGCAAGUAUUUGGCUUAAAUAUAAAUAUGCAUGCAAAUGUUUUCUUCCUUAAAUUUGGACUGGUAUGGGCAUGCAUAUGCCUGCAGGCCCCCACUGACCCAUUGGCCUUAUUAUAUGUAUAUGUUCAGGGAGAUUUUUCACACAAGGGGCCCAUUACCUGUCGACGGUUUAGCAUUGAAAACAGGGUUUGGAUAUCCCUGUGUUUAGAUGUAAGGCCAGCUCGAACAACAUUGUCGGAGGUUGCCAUACACUCUAUGCAUUCACCACGGAUAUAGGCAUGAGGCUCAUUUGCCCCUAUGCACAAUGCUUCACCACGAUUUAGCUUAACGUAGUUGAGUAAAAAUGCUGCUAGGACACCUGCAUCAUCAGGAUAUUGACCUUCUAGUCUCAGAACCAACAUUUCCUUAUCUGUCAACUGUCUUUUCUGAUUCAAUGAAGCACAUAACAUGGUAAGAAAAGAAAACUUAGUACUGCAAUGAACUUUAACAUGGGUGAAUGAUGUGCUACAACAUGAAAAUAGAGAAUAAAACAGUUUAACCAUGCCAUUUGCCAUCAUUUCACAAAUGAAUAAGCCAAAAUGGGGAGAAAUAAUCACGUCAACUGAUAUGAAAUGACUUUACAUGUUAAUCAUGUCAACGAUUCUACAAAUUCUCCCUCUUGUUUUUAUCAUCUAGUUGAUGGACUGCCUCUAAUGUUUCCUCCUUUGUCCACCAGACUUGGAGUUGCAUACUUUACUUUCUUUUCACUUCUGUCUUCUUAAGAUCUCCAAAUCUGAACCUAAACCUAUUUAAUUCCAUAUUUACCAUGAGUCAUCCACCAUUAUACACUUCAGUUUUAUUUCAUAAGUACAGAACUGAUACAAUACACCAACUUUAUGUGCAGGAAUGCUCCUUAACCAUGCAAUUGUGCUUGCAACCAAUGCUUCGAAAUUCAAAUAGCAGAAAUGUAAUUUGAAUUCACCUUUUUCUCCAGAUUCAGACGCCAUUUCAGUCUAGAUAUGAUCUCACAAAUUUCGUCCUUACUUGACAACAGAAUUUGACUGAAGAUAGACUCUACAAUAGCUUUCACUUCCUGGCUCCUGCCAAAUUCAUUGACAGGAAAACACUGCUCUGCAUCAGCACCUCCAACCAAAUCUACAAUCUCAGGAACAGUGCAUAACACAUUCCUAAGCUCCUGCAGAACAACCAUACCAUAAGUAAAACCUAACCAAUCUGAACAUUGAAAGUACUGGAUUCUAUAAGAACAUAUAAUUUUUUAAUUUCCUUGCCCUAUUUCUAUCUUCAAAUAGAUCAGUUUACUACUGUAUCUUCCAUGUCUGUCUCCUAAUUACAUAGUUAUUGUAAAGGUAUCAGCAGAUAUCAAUUAGAAAAUUUCAAUCUUUUUUCCCAAUGAUACUUUUUACCAUCAACUUCAUAAUCAAACACACUCUAAUGAGAUGCAGAUUCAAAAUUUCCAUCGAAGAUCUAGGUUUGAUUUCUUUUAAGACACAUUCAUAGGCAACUUCAUUUUAUAUUUCAAUUUUACCAGAAAUCGAAUCCUGCAAAGCCAGUAACAAAUCCAUACAAUCAGAAAGAACAAUCAACCUAAUACUAAUGUCAGAUAUGAAACUGCGUGUCACCUUGAGGCUAAUAAAGCCACACAAAGCCUCAAACUCAGUCAAUGCCAAUGCCAUUUCAGGCUUGUGAUUUUCAUCACUGUACAAACUCGGCUGUGACUUAUGAAGUGUCCUUGCCAAUUCCUUGUCCGGAUGCGCCUGUAUCGACAAUGCCUUCUCAACGGAAAGCACCUUAAACCCACAACCAAAACAAACCAAAUCAUCAAAAUCAAACACUUGCAGAACAAAAACAAAAGCAGAAACAAAAUCCCUUUCACUUGAACUAAAAAACUCAAAAACUCAAAAGCCACAGACUAACCUUGAACAAAAAAGGAAGAUCACCGCCCCAUUUGUUCAAGACUCGAUCCCCCAAGACAUCAGGGUUCUUAGAGAUCCAUUCCUUGAGACUAAGACCUCCAUGAUCCAAAAAGGAGGCCCCAGAUUCAUGAGUCCCGAUCCAGAACUCAGCAUAAGGCUCAUUUGGGUUAAUGUGGGUUCCUGAAUUUAGAUAAAACAGACGAGACACGUGUGACUUGUUGCCAACAAUGCCCCAGUUGUAAUUCUUGACAGCACAUUGCAGUCUCAACGGCUUGUUGAUCAUUCUCUUUCUCUUUUUGAUCUCCGUGUUAUUGUUUUCUGCCAUGUCUACAUACUUGUUGCCAGAAGACAAAUGACAAAUGUAAAAGCAGAGAAACCAAAGGUUUUGUAAUGGGUUCGGGGUUUGUUACGUGCACAAGAAGUUGAGAAAAAGCUUCUUAAGGGGGUUUUGGAAAGAUGUGCUGCGAAUCCGUUUUUUCUGGUUAAGUACAAGUGUUUCAUGCACAUUUAGCUUAUAUUCCUAUAUGGUUGUACCAUGAGUAAAGGGUGCCCACUUUUCCUUUCUUUCUCUCCCUCUCUCCCCUCUUUUUUUAGUUUAUUCAGUCAUUUUAUUUAUUUGAUUAAUUGAUUCUUAUUUGAUUCUCCUUUUCCUUUUUUGUUCUUUAAUUUUUCUAGUCUUGUAUGGUACCAACCACUAAAUGCCACCAAUUAUUCUCUCUUAUUGUUUGUUUAUAAAUUGUUAAGUGUAAACCCUAACCACACAAAUUAAUAACGAUAUAUAAUAAAUUUUGAUAUGAAUUAUUUAUCCUUUGAAAAGCUUAAUAUUGUAAAUAAAAUAAAAAAUAGAAGGUAUCAACUAAUGGUGCAAAAUUACACGAAAUGUAGGUAGUAGGCUAGUAGUUAUGAUUAAUGUGCAUAAAAUAAGGAAUAGUGAGGGUGUUUCGUUGGGGAUUUUUAGGAGCAAAUCCUGGAGAGAUCCACUCUCUCAUGAAUCUCUUCUUAAUCUGAAAUCUUUUGAAUCAAUUUUAUCCCUAUUUUUGCGAAAUUGUACUUUUUUGCUUUAAAAUUAAAUUUUGGGUUAGUCAAACUCCUGAAAAUUGCUUUUUCUUUUCAUGGAGGACUAGAUUUGUAAGGAAAGGAAAAAAGUAUUUUUCACCCAUAAGAUUUAAUACAAUAUUUCAUUCAUCUUUGCUAUUUAAAUAAUGAGUAAUGAUAUAGUCACAAACUCUUAUACAAACUUAUCUUGUACAAGUGGCAUGAUAAAAUUGGUUGAAUUAAAUAUCUAUUGGCUCACAUGAUUUAUUUUCAUUCAACUAAUAAAUUAAUGUCACAUCAGUUUGUACAAAAUAGACAUAUUUUAUCCCCUAUUUUUUAAAUAAUAGUCCAAAAUACUCUUAUGUUAAUUUAUUGUUAGUUUGUUGUAUAAUUCAUUAAGGACAAAAAUGAUUUUUGAUUAAAGAGAUAUAGAUCUUUUUAAAAUAAAACUCUCAAAUACAAUUAAAUUUCAUAUGAUUUUCUAGAUAAAUUUAAAAUUUAAGGAUAACUUAAUAAAUAAACAAUAAUAACACUAAGUAAUAUGUAAAAUAUAUAUUUAGGAAAAAUUAAAAAAUAGAUUUCAUAGACAAGUAUCUUUUUUUGGGUUUUUUUAACUUAUCUUUAAUUUUAAUAUGAUAGAGAUAAAUAAAUAAAUAAACAAUCAAUCAGUACUGUUAUUUUACUUAUAUAAAAGUAUACACAUACUCCUUCAUUUACUUAAAAAAAAAACCACUCCAAAGACAUAAAAACAAAAAUUUAAUAUAAUGUAGGAUAAAAUACAUAGCAUUAGAGUGUAUUUUUUAAAUCUUUUACUUUAUUGCUAACUUUAUUAUCAUAAGUGAUCCCUAAUUGAAAAGUAGUAGUAGUAGUAGUUGUUGUUGUUGUUGUUGUUGUUGUUAGUAUUAUAUAAAUUUAUUUAAAAAAUUAGUUGACUUCAUUAAAAAAAAAAUAUAAUGAACAGACAAGCAUAUAUUGCAUAUUCUUUGUUAUUAUUCUUAUUUUAUUCAGUUAUUCUUAAAUUUUAAAUUUAUGUAAAAAGUCAAAUGUUAUUUAUAUUGUGCUUAAGAUUUUUAUUUUAACUAGUUUGUAUCUAUUUAAUUGAAAAUCUUAUUUUGCCCUCAAUGAAUUAUACAGUUUACUAAUCAUAAAUUCACGGAAGAGUAUUUUAAGUUAUUGCUUGAAAAAUAUGGAUGAAAUAGGAUGUUGUUUAAAAUAUAAUUACGAAAUGAUCUAUUACAUUAAAUCCUAAGGAUGAAAAUGACUGUUUCUUGAGUUGUAAACUAAUUUAAGUAAUAAGAUUUUUGGUUAAGAUGUUUUAAGAAUUUCAUGAACACUUCAAAAUGCACUAUCAACAUUAAUCUGACACUAUUUUGUUUCAUCAAAUGACUAGUCCAUGAACUACUAUUUACACGAGCAAGAAUUGAUCUUGAGUCAUAUUCAUAUUGAUGUGCAUGAGCGUGAAAUCUUGACCACAUUGGGGGUCACAUGGGCUGCCUCUGGAAGAUACCUCGAACAUUAAUUUAUAUAAAGAAACAAAGAUUGGGUGAAAAGCAAAGGUGGCCAUGCAUACACCUUACAGCUUAGGUAAGUCAAGCCAAAUUUGAGCUGUAAACGAUGUCUGAUGCGAUAUGCCACCUCUCUUUCAAAUCGACCAUGAUUGCGUUCAAAGUGAAAAUAGAUUACAAGUUUACAAAUUGAUCAAUGUGAUCCAACUCCUCCAAAUAUAUUUUAAAUAAUUAUGUUAACUCAACAAUUAAGAUGCUUUCAUCAAAUUUUUUACAUUAAAAAAAUACAUUAACUUAUUAUUAUUAGAUGAAGAUGGUCCUGGCCAGAUGGCAGAGAUAAGGGAGGUCCACAUGUUGGAUCCAUGAUGAUCAUUUAUCAUAAGAGCAUUAACAGAACAGAAGAUUAUGCAUAUGAGAACUUAAAACUGCAGUAAAAAUUAUCUGAGGAGAAUGCCAAAUGAAAUGAAUGAAAGAAGACAAGACAUAUAACAUGUGACAAAGGAAUGAAAGGCACCCACACACACUGACAGGUCUUGUGUUGUGUUGUGUCGUAUCCCUCCCAUAACAAAGCUUAGUACUCGGAAGAAUCCGUGAUCCCUCGUUAUUAUUACUAUUUUUUUCCCCUUCUUGAGAUGUUGCCCAUCUGGUAAUAUACAUUAAUCAAUAAAAAUAAUAGCAUAAACUUCAGCGAAGAUCCUGUAACAUUCAAGCUCCUUUCUCGGGUGUGUGUAAAAUUGAUCUCUUUUAACGAACAAUUUUCUUGGAGACUACAUAACUAGUCAAGAUCAAUUGUUCACAAGGAAAAGAUAAUUAAUUUACUGAUGUAGGACAUGAGUUCUUGAAAAGGAUUCUAGGAUCUUGAAUCCCAAGGGCACAUGCUUCCUAUGCUUUGUCAUCUUACUUGUGUUCCCCGAGUCUAAGAAUUACAUUAAUGUUACGUUAGAAUCGUAGAAUGUAUGUAUGACAAAUACAUUAAUAAAUACCCUAUAAAAUGGAUUACUAUAUAUAUACAAAUACAGUUAAAAUACCCUUAUUCUUAUAAUUGAUUUUCAUGCAUGAUUGUUGAAUAACUCAAAUAAUUGAUCCAGGCAAUUGUUAAUUUUGAAAAGUAAAUUCACAAAACGAGGCGCAUGAUUAACCCGGGUAUCAAUUCUUCUAGCAAAGCAGCAACAAUAAUGCCCUCUAUAGGAAAUUAUGAUUCUUGGCUAAGUUCAUUAUUCUCAAUGGGCCCUACCUCACUUCUCGUGCUGCGUAAUUAUUUAAGCCUAUCAUCAAUAAUUAAGCCUCUCAAGUCUCAACCAAUUACACAAUAAUGACCAAUCCAAAACUAAAUUAACAAUAUUGAAACAAAUAAUGAAAGAAAAAAUCCCAUUUCGGAUUCUACAGAUCAAACAGAAGUUUCCCGCUGACCAGAUCCAAACCUUCUAAUUUUCCUCAAUAAUAAUACCGAAUAAUGAUGUGAUCCGUGCCAUUUGUCUUUUUUUAUUUUUUAUUUAUUUUCUCUACAACGAGAUACAAAAUAAAUAUAAAGAAAUUUUUAUUCGGUAUGGACCAUAAAUCCGGUAAGGUUAAGGUCUCUGUCAGUUUGUCAAUCUCAAUCACAAUUGUGUGUUUUUGGUUCCAUUUCUAAAGUUAAAGUUAAAAAAAGUUUCCUCGGAAACCCACCUAAGCUGAUGAUCCAUUUCUAGCCUUUCGGUGCUUAAAUUCAACCACUUUCAUUCUCUUUAUCCCUUCUUUUCCUAUUUACCUGCAACAAUGGAAUCUGUUGUGUUUCUUCAGCUCACUGCAUCAAGCUGAUCAAUUGUUCUUCCAAUGUUGGCAGCAGAUGCUCUUUGGAGCCUUAGUAGACAAUAAAGCAAAAGUUUAUACUUUUAAAGCAGCUAUUUCUGACUUUGCUUUACUUUGACUCCUCCAAAAUAAUCUUGCAGCAGCAUUUAAUGAAUGCCCCAUUUGAAACUUUUCCCCCGCUUUAAUUUCUCUCCAGUGAGAAACUAGAAGCUCACCAGGGUGGGAGGUGAAUCCUCGUCAUCAUUCAACAAUUAGCUAUGGCAAUUGAUGUAAUUUUCUCUGAGAUUUCAAGCCCUCGUAUUUCAUUCUCACAUGAUCUCAACAACAAGACAGAUGCUGCAUCCAUUAUUAUUGAAGCCCGUCAACAUGAUUCAUCGACUUCUGAUUUUGAUUUCUGCAUUGGCAAUAAUAGCUUUCUCCAGGAAUUAUCUUCUGCUGAUGAGCUUUUCUCAAAUGGCAGGAUUCUUCCAAUGCAAAUCAAGAAACAACAAAUCACCACAAAAAAGCAAACCCAUCACCCUCAUCAUCAACCUGAGCCUUGUACAGAAAAGAAGAGACUGAAAGAGCUUUUAUCAAUGAGUGAUCUUGAUGAUGAAGUAUUAGCCAAGCCCUCAUCAAAAUCUUUCUGGCAAUUCAAAAGAAGCAGCAGCCUCAAUUGUGAAAGCACCAGAAGCAAGAGCCUAAUCCGGUCAUUACAGUUUCUCUCAAGAAGCAACUCAACCGGUUCAGCACCAAAUCCAAAACCAACAACAUCAACAGUGAUUUCAAAAGAAUCCCAGAAGCAGAAUUUGAAAAGACAGCCAUCAGUUUCAAGAAAAUCAACAAUGUCGUCGUCAUCAAGUUAUUCCGGCACAUAUUAUUAUUCUUCAUCAACGCAAAAGCCUCCUUUAAAGAAGUGUGGAUCUUACAAUGGCCAUAAUGGAGUUCGAAUCAGUCCGGUUUUAAACAUCCCUCCUCCAUUCAUUUCCAAUGCAACUGUGAGUCUCUUUGGUUUUGGUUCACUUUUCUGUAACGGCAAGGUUAAAAAGAAGAAGAGAUAGAUUUAACUUUGAUCAAAUUUCACCAACCCAUGCCCCUCCCCCGUCUUCAAGUUCUUAUUGUUAAAUUAUGGGUUUAAUUACAGAUGGAUUUAGCUGUCUUCCAUAUUGGUACAUGAAGUAGCAUGUGAUAAGUGUCUGUAAAUUCAAAGAAAUUUAAUUCAUAUAUUUAUAGAAGAAAGAGAUUAGAUCUUAAAUUUUUUGUUCUUUUUAAAUAUUAAUAUUCUUAGCCAAAUCAAGACCUAUUAUAGCAUUGUUUGGAUAUUUGCACCCGUACAAGGAGAUAAUUUGAAGAAAUGGAUGAGAACUAAUGGGUGAGUUUUAGAUCAGAUAUUAGGGUUUUAAAAAUAAUAAAGGAGGUGUUCUGAUUUUUAUUGAAGUGAAGACUGUAGUUAAUUGCAUAAAUGAAUGAAUGAAUGGUCAUCAUUUCAUGUAUAUCAGCAUGUUAUGGACAUAGGAGACAAGUAAACAAGUUAUCCUUCAUCCAUCGCCAUCCCAUGCUUGCUUUCUUUUUAGAAUUUUUUUCAAUUUUUCUGCUUUUAAAAAUUAGUUCUUUGAAUUAUGAAAUGUGGAAAUGCGGAAUGUGGUUGUCCUUUGUUCUUUACUUCUUUUGAACUGUGAUUGAGGCUGCUUUUGCUGUUUUCCUUGUAUUAUUGUAUUGCAUGAAUGUGCUUUGAAUUGGGCAUUUGGGAACACCAUUGAUUUGGUCAUUUGUUCUAUCUUGACCAAGACAAACUUAGCAUUGGGUUUAGAAAAAGAAAAUUCAAUGAUUAACUUUUAGUUUGAUAAUCUAACUGGUUUAUUAAUUAUUUCUUUCUUUUUCUUUCCUUUUUUUUAUGGGCUUAGUUUUCACAAUCAUCCUAACAUUACCCAUCUCAUACAUCUGCAAGGAACAUAAUUACAUUAAAGAAACAUAAAAUUAGCGAUUGUGAAUAAAGAAUUAUCCUUAAUGUUACUUAAAAUAAUAAUUAUUAUUAUUAAACUUAAUCAAGCAGACUUGUUUGCUAUCUAAUCCGGAUAUAAUUUAGUACUUUUACUAUAAUCGAUCUGAUGUAAUUUCGAGUGAAUGGAUGGUUGAUCUUUUCUUUUUGCAUAUAUCGACUCAAUCUAAGCCAUUAAAAAAUUGUCAUAAUCAACAAAAUUUGGUCAAUUGAAAGUAGAAUGCAGCCACUUCAAGAAAAUUAGUUACGAAAAACAGUUUUCGAGCUUCUAUUAAAAAAAAACAUAAGAAAAUGCUCUAUUAAUAAAAGUUUGAUGUUAAUAACAUAAAAGACCAAUACAACAACAACAACAACAAUAAUAAUAAUAAAAUAAUUUGAAAGUGGUUUUAGAAUUUAGACUUUUGUUUUAUUAAAAAAAUACUAAUAUCAAAAAUAUAUUCUCAUAUCUUUAUUAAAAAAAUAAAAGUGAAAACAACUAGGGUUUCCUGCAGUAAUUUAUUUUAUCUCUAUUUUUUAAAUAAUAACGCAAAACAUCUUUAUGUUAAUUCAUCAUUAGUUUAAUAUUGUUUGCUAGUUAUUCAUUGAGAGCAAAAUAAGAUUUUCAAUUAAAGGGAAAUUAAAAAAAUAAAUAAAAACUAAAAAUAAUUUUUAUCUAAUCCCACUAAAUAUACAAUCUCAAAAAAAAAAACUUCUAUUUCAAGCAAUUGUCUUGCACUAGUCUCUAUUUUGGCACCGUAAAAGCCUUAUAAAACCAUAGAUUUAAGAACAAAAAAAAAAUCACAAUAUUCAUAUUCAUAUAAGUAUACUCUCUAAUUACACUGUCAGCCAACAUGGGGAAACAAUAAUGGUCAAAGAAGAGUGGUGGUAAAACUCAAAAUAAAUUUCAGAAGCAAGUUGAGUUAAUAUUGUUGUGUUAUUUUUCUCAAAUAAUAAUUCCUUUAUUUAAAAAAAUGAAAUUUCAAAUAAAUUUUGAUGGUGUUUUCACGAGUUGUUGUAACAUGGGCUGAAUUAAUUCUUUAUGCUUUUAUAUUGAGUAGCAUUUAUUUUUUCAUAUUGAGUAAUGAUAAUGGGAUGGUAAUUGUGUUUGUUGACGUUGAAAUUUGCCUAUAAAAUUAGACUAAUUAUAGUGAUAGAAAAGGUAUAAUUUCGACAACAAACAUUCACUUAUACCAAUAAAUAAAUAAAUAAAUAAGAUUGAGUUACUUAUGCUUGUGUUUACUAUGGCAGUAAGGAUGCAUGCACGAGGCAGCUGUAAUAAAGGAUGAGUUCUUGUGACAUGGAAAUAAAUUUGCUAGUGCAGAUUAUACAACAACAAUCCACGUCGUAGAUUACUUUUUUGUGUUUCUAUACUAUAUUGAAACGUUUUGUGUUGUCCAGUGUAUAUAAGUCAUGUGGCAUGAGAGGUGUAUUCAAUAUUCAAAAGUCGAAACAAUUUGAAUUGAAUUGAAGAUUAAGAAGAUAUUCAGCACAAUGUAAGUACAAAAAAAAAAAAAAAUAAUUGACAAUAAUUUUAAGUUUUUCUUCUAAUAAUUUAAAAAAUAUUGUUUUAAUUAUAGUUUGUUUCUUGUGGCAAUUAUUCAGUGGCCAUAUCAAAUUAUAUUAAUAAUUGACUUCAUUAAAAGAAAAAAAAAUUAUGAAUUUUAUAUAUUUUGUAGUGUUAUUAAACAGUAUAAAAAGUUUAUUUUAAAAUAGUUUGUAUCAUUUUAAUUGAAAAUUCGAUUUUAUCCACAAUAUAUUAUUAGCAAACAGCAUUAAAUUAAUAUUAAAUUAACAUAAGGAUGUUUUGAACUAUAGUUUAAAAAAAAGUAAUAAAAUAAAUUAUUGUAUGAAACAUUAGAGAUAAAAAAAGAUUUUUGUUCGCUGAGCGAAAUUCAAUAUAUUUCUAAUUGGGAUGCUUUUACGUUUUAUGGAAUGCGAUUGUAUCAUGAUUUCAAGAUCUAACUGAACGAAUUAAUUAGAUCACGUGACUAAUAUUCUUGAUUGAUUUAGAUUUCAUACCAUAAUAAAGUAAUAUAAUCAGACAAGUUAGAACGAAUAUUGAGCUAAUAACUGGGUAAAUUAAAAACUAUGAUAAAUAAAUUGUUUCAUUAUCUCUUUUAUACCUUAAGCCUCUCUGUCUAUAUAUUAAAAUAAUAAUAAUAAUAAUAAUAAUAAUAAUAAUAAUAAUAAUAAUAAUAAUAGUAGGGGAUUGAACAAGCCAAAUUAAUUUUUUAGUUCCUUACAUCUUAAGAUUUAAACUCAAAUAAUUAAUUGUUUAAUAAAACUGUUUGAAAACUACUCAGUUAGCUCAUGAAUUUGUUUUAAGCUUAAUAUUAUUGAGUUGGUUAAUUAUAACAAACUUUUAUAGUAUAAAUCACUUCUCAUUUUAGUUUUCAAACAUUAGUUUUGAACGAAAGUACGAUGCAAAAGUAGUUAGUUUAAGAAAUUCAUUAAAUCAUGCUUGGGAUUUUUUUUUUAAAAAUAAAUAAAUAAAUCAAAGGCGUUAACAAGUACAAUAUCCUUUAAUCGAAUCUAUACAAGAAAAAGAUUCUGGGUAAAGCUAACACCACCCGACCUUAGCUCAGUUGGCAGAGCGGAGGACUGUAGUGGAACAGCUGUCAUCCUUAGGUCGCUGGUUCGAAUCCGGCAGGUCGGAAAUUUUUCCUUCCCUCCAUUUUUUUCAAAAUAUUUAAUAUUGGGCCAAAUUGGAUCGUAAGCCCACCAGCCUAUUUUCCUCGUACUAUGACCUACACUUCUACUUUUCCAUAUCAUUUUUUGCAAUUAGUCCAAUAUGUAAUCAUAGAAGCUUAAUCCGAGAUGAUAAAAAUUCUUUUCGUUUUUCCUUCUUAAGAAUAAAAAUAAUUCCCAUUUCAGUAGCCCUGAUUCCAAUGCCAAAUAAAGCAGAUUUGAUAACUAAAUAAGUCUCGCAAAUUAGUAAAAUUUGGAUAUUUUAACAACGGAUUAAUCCCUCAAACAUUUGGUCCCAGUGUCAAGGAGAAAUUAUGACUGUGCACAAGCUGGUUUCUUCUUGAAUCAAAUGCAUGGGAACCCAAAAUGGUUUCAUUUUAAAAUUAAAUGAUAGACAAUAAACAAUAAAAAAAAUUAUAAAAAAAAAAAAAAAGGAUUGAAAAGUCAAACAGCAGCCUUGGCGGGUUAUUCCCGAGCAUUCUGUUUCAAAGUCAAUAUUUGAGUGCCUUGCUUUAAUACCAAGUCCUCCAGGGGUGACUUGAAUUUGAACUCUCAUUUUCGUCAGUGAAGACCAACGGUUUCAAUCAUUUGCCAAAGAAGUGAAUAACAGGUUCCUGUGAAGUUUCCAGUAUUUCACAGGCAAAACCUGCAUAUUAGGAAACAACCCGUUUUCCCGCAACAACCAAAACCAUUGUAUCGAUCUCAAACUUGGUGCUCCUUUGACUCCAGUUGUAAGUUGCAAGCAGCCAUGGCAAUAAUAUUUUCAAAAUAAACAUCCGAUAAUGAGAAGGAAGAGGAUGGUUCAAAUACCCCGUUUGGGUGGAGAGUAAAACUCAUUAGGGCAAGAUUUCACUUCGAUUAACGAAACAUUAAAUUAGAAAGCAUUACAUUCAGAAACCUGAAGGUAGCUCAUGCUGCUCAGCCAGGCUGACAAAUGAGGGGUGGGACCUGGCUUGCAUGAUUUAUAUCCAGCACAAAACUCUACUUCAGACCAAAAUUGCUCAAGGAAAGAUAAGUAGUUUACAAAUCAAUACUCCUACAGACAUAAUCUUGGUCUCGGUAACAAGCCACUCUCAAUUGAGGCUCAAUAAUUUCUUUUCUUCCAGAAGAGAUUGAAGACAAAACAAUAUCACCAUUGAAUCAACAAACCACCAGUGCCAGCGAAUAACUCGUUCUGUGAUAUUUAAGAAAGUAUAGAACUAUGGAAAUGAAAGUAAAACUUUCAUAAAGUUGGCAGCGUUCACUAUCGACUCAAAGAUGGAAAACAAAGAUAACCUAGUAUCCUAUUUUCCAUAGAGUUCAAUGAAUACUUACCAGACAAUUUUGAUGCUUCCAGUAAUACUGAUAAAAGAACUUUAGAAGUAGCAGCCUAAUUGCAGAGCAGCCUGCAGUUCAGCAGUCAAUGAAACAACAAGACUGCAAAAAUAUUGUGCUUAAAAAGUCUGGGCAAACAGACAGGUCUGCAGGGUAAGCAACUAGUAAGUCAACCAUGCUACCAAUAUUAAUGUGUCUCCCGUAGUUUGCAAAGCAAUACUAAUAAUCAAACCAGGAAGAAAAAUGAAAUGUGGGUAGAGGCCGUCAACCAAAAGAAGUAAGAUUAAUUGUUAGUCUAGUAGUUUAAAAUACACUUUGAGACCACAGUUUAUCAGCUGAAUAUGAAAGGACGCAGAAAGCUGAUUCCAUAAGAACAGGUAGUACUCGUAAGCAUCACACUUUACUUGCUUAGCAUAAUAUUAUUUGGAGAAAAAAAGAAUGUGCUCUAAGAUAGAUGAUCAUUUCACUAAUUUAAACACAAACAAAUAACACUACAAAGUUAAAAUGAAGACUUGAUUCAUUGAUUGCACUCAAGGAAGCAAGAGUAUUUAGAAAAUGAAGCUCAUACAUUGCAUUCUCUCCCCAAUUAACAACAUCCAACCAUCCCCUUCCUUUAUACACAAUUAUUCCUCUAAAAGAAAGAAAAAAUGAAUGACAAUUAAUAAACAAAAUUAGCAUUUCAAAGCAACUGAACCUGCACCACAAAGUUACUGGGAAAUUCAACACUAAUAUAAAAUUUCCAAUUCACAAAGAUGGUGUGGUACGGUUGUUGUAUACCACGAAUUGGGGUCACAAGUUACCAGUAGUCAGCGAACAGAAGCCCUGAAACUCCUCAUCACUACCUCUGCGAAGAAAAAAGAAAAUUACUUUUAGCUUUAAGUUCAAGACAUUCAGUAAAUGUUGAAAGAACUGUACCAAAUCAAACAUUCAGGCUCAAAUGUUAUUAACCAAGAAGCAAGUGGGAAAGUAAGAAGUGAAAAUAGAAAACAAAACUGAAACUUCAUAUUUCAAGAUUCAAACCAAUGAAGUCUAAGAAAACAUCUGAUUAACAGUACUAAGAUCUUCAUUCUCAGUGACACAAAAUUCAAACUGUCGUUCUCUUUGAUUUUCCCACAUUUUCUCAACAACCAAUCAAGCAAUUACCUUGCCGUUAUCGGCUAACUCCGGCACUUUAUAGGAAUCAACAGUCACCUCCGUCAACCACAAUCCGGGAAAUAAAGACUGCAAAAGAACCGAUCAAACAACUGAAAAUUUUUAUUGCGAAAUAAAGCUAAAAAAAGAAAAGAAGAAAAAGGAUCACAUGUUUUCAAUAAACAAAAAACAAAACCCUUACAUCCAUUUGCUUCUGUACAAUUCUGGGUCUCUUCUUCGGCCUCCUCGGCGGCCUAUGGCCUACCAUCUCCAUAAAAUCUUCCUCGAUCUCUUUCCUCAUCAAACUCACAGCAAAUUUCGGUCUCUCCUUCUUAAUCUCCUUCUCUCCUCGUUGCAGCUUCGGCGAUUUGGCGCCAAUUUCAGUAUUAACCGGCGAUGAAUUGGGUUUCUUCUCCUCGAUUCUAAAUCCCUUAUUGGGAGCCUUACACGCCGCCCGCCGAGUUCGAAGAUUCCACGGCCUGACCUCCGCCGCCUCCACAGCAGCAGCCGCUACGUGAGUAUCUUCCAUUAUCUCUUCUUCAUACACUUCCUCCCUCAAAAUUUGAUCUUUCAUCUUAUCAGCCGCCGUUUUGAGAUCAUUCAUAAUCUUCUCUCUCACAGCGUCAAUCCCUUCUUCUUCUUCUGCACCACCGUCAACGCCAUUCGAUUUCAACAAAACCUUUCCUUUAUGACGUCCCGAGUCAUCAAAUUCAAAUUCCCUCGAUCGGCGUCGGGGACGGUGAUCGACAGACGGCGAAGACGGCGAAGAGUCUUCAACUUUCAUGCAACGGAGAUGCCGCUGAUGGCCCCACUUAAGAUACGGCAGCGUGAAGUUGUGAAGCGGCUUCGAUGAUGAUCUCGCGGUUCCCAUCGCCAUCAACUCCUCGCUAAACACCAUUAAAUGUCUAAUGAGUAUUCAGUAAUUAAUUUUUUUUUCCUUUUCUCCUCUCUUGCAACUAAUUUUCUUUUUCGCUUUCAAAUUUUUAUUUGUUUUGUUUUUUAGAAUCGCCGGGAAGAGAAGGUUUAUAUAAGUGUGUUUGUGAGAGAGAGAGAGAGAGAGCGGUUUUAACGUUCGGGGAGAUGAGAGAGGGCGUUUUGGUAAUUUGAUUUGUUAGGGGGUUGGCACUAAUGUGCGCCUAGGUGUGGCAUUGUAUCCGUGGAAGCAGAGGAAAUGGGUUUUCCCGGGUGAUAUGUCGUUUUCAAUUGACUUCGUCGUAACUGCCGUUGGAUCAAGAUGGGAGGAGGGGAGGGCUGUGAUCUCUUCAUUUAGCCAUUGAUUUAUAUUAGAACCUCCUUUCCUUCUUCUUCUUCUUCUUCUAAUUCUUUUUAAAUCGACUUCAUCAUUGUAUUUGUCAAUUUGAGGGUGCGUUUGGUAUUGAGGUUUGACAAUUAUAAUUUAAAAGUUACAGUAUUAAAGUGUUCAGUAAAUACUAGCUGCUAGAACUUGAAAGUUAUAUUAAUAUAUUUUUUCACUUGUAUCAUAUAGAAAAUUUAUUAUAUUUUUAAUAAUUUUAUCAAAAUUAUUAUUUAAAAUUUAUAUUGACUACAAAUUAUUAAUUUUUAUUUUAUAGUUACAGUUUUUUUCCACAACAACUGUAACUUAAAAAUUACAGUACUUCAAUUCCAAACAAGAUCUAAAAGUUAUUUGAAAUGAAAAAAUUCAAGUGUGUAAAAAAAUGUGGACAAGAAUUAAAUUUUAUAAAUGAAACAAGAAUCAAGAUUAUUUUUUAAUUAUUAAAAAAAAGUUUUAAAUAGAAACACCAUUCUCUAUGAACUCAUGGACAUGUACCGCGUAAUAAUGUUAAGCUGUUGAUUUAAUAUCUCAUACUUCAAAAAAUUUGGAAGGCAGAUUCCAAAGAAUAGUGUUUAAAUUUUAAUAAUAGGACGAUUGUUUCAUCGAUUCCAACAUGAGUUGAUUUGGAUUACUUGUAUGUCAUAUUAGAUCAAUGAUUGACUUAAAUUAAAGACAAUGAUUGACUUAAAUUAAAGAUUUAAUUAAAAGUUUAAAUCAAUUUUUUUAUUAUAAAGCCUUUGAAAAGUUUGGUCGGAGAGUUUGUUGAAAUUAAAUGAUAUAUAUUAAUUUUAGAUUUAAGAGUUAAUUGAAUGCUUUAUUUUUUGUUUUCUUGUGUGAUUAUUAUUUUAUUAAUUUUGGCAAAAGUUUAAAUAGUUUAAGUUAUCAAUAAUUUAUCAAUAGUUUAAGCCUAUGUUUGACACGAAUAAAUGAGAGGGAGGAGAGGAAUGAAAAGGAGAGAGGGGGAGAAAAUGAAAAAAAAAAAUCAAUAAGCCUAUGUUUGACACGAAUAAAUGAGAGGGAGGAGAGGAAUGAAAAGGAGAGACGGGGAGAAAAUGAAAAAAAAAAUCAAUAUCAAUUUUCUUGUUUCAUUUGACAUGAAGGUCCUGUUAUGUUAAGAAGUCGUAGUUUAAAAGUUACGAUACUAAUGUAUUUGGUAAACACCAACUGUUGUAAUUUAAAAAAUAAAUUAAUUUAAUUUUAUAUUUGCAUAAUGAAAAGUUUAUUAUAUCUUUAUUAAUUUUGUUAAAAUUAUUAUUUACAAAUUAUAUUUAUUACAUGCUAUUAACUUUAUUUCAUACUUACAAAUUUUUUUACAACAACUGUAGUUUAAAACUUACAAUACUUCAAUAACAAACAGGAUAAAAUUAACUCUUACCCCCUUAAUUCUUUCGCCCUCUUCAUUCCUUACUCUCCUCUCCUCUUCUUCCAUUUGUUAGAACCAAACAUGUUAUUGCAUAGUUGUCCCAACACACACUCUUAAUUGAAUAAUUUUUAAGCAUAUUUAUUUAUCUGAUUAUUUAUGUUGAAAAUUUAACGGAAAUUGACGGUGGAAUUGGGCUAUAACCACUCUCUCUCUCUCUCUCUUUUUAAAUUAUCAAUUAUUAGAGGAUGUAAACUUGCAACUUAAUCUUUCUAAAAUAAAAGAUAUGUGGUUCCCUAAAUCCACAUCAUAGUAAAUUUUAUUAUGUUCUAAAGUUUUGGGCAUGAGACUGCAAAUGGAUCCUCUUCAGAUAUUAAAAUUAACUCUUACCCCCUUAAUUCUUUCGCCCUCUUCAUUCCUUACUCUCCUCUCCUCUUCUUCCAUUUGUUAGAACCAAACAUGUUACUGCAUAGUUGUCCCAACACACACUCUUAAUUGAAUAAUUUUUAAGCAUAUUAAUUUAUCUGAUUAUUUAUGUUGAAAAUUUAACGGAAAUUGACGGUGGAAUUGGGCUAUGACCACUCUCUCUCUCUCUCUUUUUAAAUUAUCAAUUAUUAGAGGAUGUAAACUUGCAACUUAAUCUUUCUAAAAUAAAAGAUAUAUGGUUCCCUAAAUCCACAUCAUAGUAAAUUUUAUUAUGUUCUAAAGUUUUGGGCAUGAGACUGCAAAUGGAUCCUCUUCAGAUAUUAAAAUAAGGAGGGGAGGGGAAAAAAAACGCGUUUGGAAUUUUGAAAUAGUCGAGGAAAGCAGUUGCAUCCACAGUGGUUUCCGUAAGCCUUGCCUCACCUUAUUAUUUUUCUUUUUCAGUGUAAACGCUAGCCAAUAACAAAGCUUUACAAAGCCAUGUCAUCUUGAAGGAGCGGAAAUUGCUAAGAUGGGAUAAGUAUGCUGUUUCCCAAAAGCAAGUUGACCUUGGCUUCUCUUGACUCUUGACGUAAUAAUUCCCUAUACCUUAGUUUUUAUGAUUUUAUUCUUAUUUUCAAAUAGCUUUUGUUCAUAUUUAUUAUGAAAUUAAAAUAAUAAACCAAGAUCGAUCUCACAAGCACAUACCAACGAAUAAGAUACAACUUGAGAAUUUCCUUGACAACAUAAAAUUGUGACAAAAUUUUAAAAUAUUUCGACAAUUAAUUAAGUUAGAAUAUAUGCGAAAUGCUAUAGCAAUUUGGCAAUUGUGUGAAAAAGCAUUUUCAACGAUCACAUGAAUCAAAGAGUACAUAAAAAGGCAUAGGGUCGUAGAAUGUGUGUCUUGGUGUGCUGUGGAGAAAUUCUAUAGUUAGUGUAAAAUAAGAUUCGUUUAGUGGAUUGUUAAUUAGUUGAAAAUUAAUGCAUUAGCGGUUUCUUCAACAAGCCGUUAACGCAUUUUGUAAAGGCCAAUUAAUUUGAAAAGGAGUCCCCCACAUAAAGAAUGUGUAUGGAGAAAGAAAACCCUUUCAUGGAUUGUGGCCAAAUUUUAUGGAUUUUUUUUUCUCUCGAAUUAAGAUUGAGUUUUAAAUUUUAAUGUUGAUAAUCAAGACAAUUUUUUUAUAUAUUUUAAUUAUAAUCACAUGGUAAUUUAAGUUGUGUUAAGCUUUUAAAAUCGUGGUGCCAACAUUAUCAAGCAUUUCCAAUGAUCACAUAUAUGUUUAUGGUUUUAAUUAUUAUUAUUAUUAUUAUUAUUAUUAUUAUUAUUAUUAUUAUGGCCGUACAGCAGAAUAUUUUUAUCUAAUAACAACAUUGUUAAAUAAAAAAAGUAUACUAGGACCAAUUUGGUCAUACUGUAACUUUUAAAAUAGUUGAUGUUAACUGUGCUGCAUAAAUAAUCAGUUAUGAAGAGAAUUAGUUAAAUGCUUAAUAAACAUUAUUUAUAAAAACAUUAUGAGUUUUAAAAGUGAUAAAUCUUACUGUUAAAUUGUUGAAAGAAUGCAAAUGAUUAAAAUAGAUAUAAUAUUGAAUAAAAUUUAUGUACGGUACAGCAGAAAUUUAUUUACGCAUUAAUAUUUUCAUAUAAUAACUAAUAAUUAAAAUAAAAUUUUUAUUUUAUUAAUUUAUUUUUAAUUUUGUUAUCUCAAUAUAUUUGGUAAUAAUAAUAAUCUCUUUAAUUUUAAUAAAUUUAAUUUCUAAAAUGAAUAAAGACAAUUUUUGACUUUUAAAAACUACUCCUCCCCUACUUUUUAAAAUUUGAUGUAGGAUGGGGUGAUUUUUUUUUUUUUAAAUUACCUACUAAAAUUAACUUUUAACUUUUUUGAAUUACUUUUGAGCUUUUAAAAAUAAUCUCAAAUGGGCCAUAGAGUGAAAUUUAAGCUCAUUUGGUACUUUAUGCGUCAAGUAUUAAUUGAUAAAAGAAUGUAAUGGAAUGUAUACUUGGAUAAGCAUAUUAUUAAUAAAUAAAUAAAAAUUAUUUUGUGAGUUGCAAAUUUAUUGUGGUGAAUGGUUAAAAGUUAAUUAUUUUAGCAUUUUUAUUUGAUACAAUUCUAAAAUUCAAGUUCUUUUUCUAUUUUAUUUCAACUGAUAAGAGAAGAAUCAAAUACACAAUUCGAUAAGGAUAUUAUCUGACCACAUUAACUUAAAUCAUCCUUAGUUGACAGCUAAUAGUUAUCUUAAUCCACCUAUUAUGAUCCAUUAAGGUCCUACAAGGGAGUUCAAACCAUGAGAGGAUGUUAAUCCUCUACAAAAUUCCUAAUCAUUGUUAACUAAUAAGGUAUUUGUAAUGCUCAAUUUUGUAGAAACCCUUCCACCAAACAAGAAUCUAACUAGAGCAUCAACCAUCCUGCAGGUAUGCAUGUUCAUCAUAUAAGCUUUUUUAUAUUGUCACACGGAUUCUUUGUAAAAGUAGUAUUUAAUCGGCAAGAAUCCCAGCCUUUAUAGGGCUGUUUGUGUCUCAUUGAAGAUGUUUAUUCUAAUUUUAAUCACUGAAAUAAUUCAACAUUUAUUUUCAUGGCUUCUAACAAAUUUUUGAGAAUUUUAAGCAUUUAAGCUCUUUUUGGUAUUGACAUUAGGCAACUGUAGUCAAAGCUAUAAUGUUAAAGUGUUUGAUAAAUACUAACGACUGUGAUUUGAAGAUUGAGUUAAUUUAAUCCACUAUUUUUAUGAUAAAAAAACAUAUAAUACCUUUAUUAUAUUUAUCAAUAUUAUUAUCUAAAAUUUAUGUUUAUACACAAUAUAAAUAUUAUAUUAAAAAUAUAAAUUUUUUUUACAAUAACUAUAAUUUAAAAAUUACAACAGUUUAAUAUCAAACAUGAUCUUAAACAAAGUCGAUCUCUCAAACAUUUUUUAAGAAAAAAAUCUGCAUGGAUAUGAAAAUGAAAACGCGUUAAUUGCCUUUUUACACGGCAAAAAGUUGUGAACUUUUGCACCAUAUUUCUGUUGCACUACCAACAAAGUGUUGGCUCCACUGGCAAUGAAGUCCCCUUAAGUGGCUUGACUGGAUUUGCUCCCCAGUUCGAAUCGCAGGGAAGUUGCCUUUGUUGGGAGAACCUGUGCCUCCCGGUUCGAGCGGGGACUUCUAGUCUUGGUUGUGGUACGGGCUUAAAGGUACCUCCCACAGUUGGGGCGCUCCCCAGGAUACAUCGUGAUUAAUAUAAAAAAAAAAAUUUCUGUUGCACUAAUCACUAUUCGGAGAUUUUGACUUUGUCAAUGACUCAAAUGACAUCUCUCUUUAACCAUGGUUAAAAAAACCUGUAAUGGCCAAUGAGUGCACACUUUAUACCCUAAGCUGCUUUUCCGCUAUAAUCACUCAUUAACAAUUAAAAGUGGGAAAAAAUUAUUUUUAUCCCUAGAAUUUCAUGCAAUAAGUUAUUUCAUCCCUACUCUUUAAACAAAAACUCAAAAUAUCAUUCCGCUAACUCAUCAUUAGUUUAAUGUCGUUAACUAAUAAUUCACUAAGGGUAAAAUAUGAUUUUUCAUUAAAGUGAUACAAAUUAUAUUAAAAUAAAUUUUGUACACAAUUAAAUAAUACUACAAAAUAUACAAAAUUCAUUAAUUUAUUUUAAAUGAAAUCAACCAUGAAAUAGUUUGAUAUAGUCAUUGAAUAAUCGCUAUAAGCAACAAAUUGUAAUUAACACAACAUCUUUAAAUCAUUGGAAGAAAAACUAAAAAAUAUAGCCAAAUUUUAUUUACUUGCAAGUACUGAAUAUCUUUUUAAUCUUCAAUCAAUUUUUAUUUUGAACUUUACCACCACUCUUUUUUUACCAUUAUUGUCUCCCCAAAUCUUUAACACUAUCGCCUCAAGUCGGCUCACAAUGCAAUUAGAGAGUAUAGUUAUACAUGAAAAUUGUGAUUAUUUUUUGUACUUAGAUCUAUGGUUUUUAGGGCUUCCAUGCUGUCGAAAUAGAGAGAACUGCAAAACAAUUACUUGAAAUAGAAGUUUUCAUAUUUUUCAAUAUUUUCUGCUUAGUGAGAUUAUAUAAAAAUCAUUUUUAGUUAUAUGUCAACUUUUAUUUAUUUUUUCUAAUUUUCUCUUUAAUGAAAAAUCCUUUUUUGCCCUCAACAAAUUACUAACAAACGGCAUUUGAUUAACGUUGAGUUAACGAAAUGAUAUUUUAGCCUAUUGUUUAAAAAGUAUGGAUGAAAUGGAUUAUUGCAUGAAAUGUUAAGGGUGAGAAGGACUUUUUCCCAUUAAAACUCUACAAUUAUAAUUUAAAGUUAUAGUGCUAAAAUAUUUAGGUCAUUAUAGUUUAAAAGCUAAAUUAAUUUGAUUUAUCAAUUUUAUGAUGAAAAAUUUAUAAUAUCUUUACUAUUUUUAUCAAAAUUAUAAUUCAAAUAUUAUAUUUACUAUAUACUAUUAAUUUUUAUUUAAAGUUAUAAUUUUUUCCACUUUAAGCUACAACACCUCAAUACUAAAUGAGAUUUAUAAAAAGUUGUCACAAUAUUUAUUACAAAUUAUAAAUAGAAAGGUUUGUUCAAAUUGAUUGUUCAACAGACACAAACUUAGAUAUAAUUUUACACACGUAAUCUCAAAAUAAAUUUUCAGUCAUGAAUUUCUAAUCAUAUUAAAGUUACAGAUAAGCUAAAAGAUAAAAAAAAAAUACAUACUCUAAUAUAAUAUAUCUUAUUAUACAAUGUAUAAUUUAUAUUUUAUUUAUCUUUUAACUUAAAAAUAAUUUUAAUAAGGUUGUAAAUCCGUAAUUGGAAAGACACUCCACAAUCUCUACCCUUGGAUUAUAUUUAGUGAGUUAAUUAUGUUCGAUGACAUGGCCGUUCUAAUCCGUAAUUAUGUUUGUGGGCCCCACCACUUAUUGUUAAGGAUUGGACUAUAUUGGAACCGCUACAAGGUAAAACACUAUUUCAUAACUAUACAAUCAAAAUUAUAAUAAAUUUUUUACUAUUUAUCAUUUUGCGUGUGUGGAUGUGAUUCAUUGUAGAGUAGCUCCAAUAUAGUCAUAGCCUAUUGUUAAUCGCGUCAUUCUCUUAUCUCCUUUUCCUUCGAUUUUUAUUUUUUUAUUUUUUAUUUUUUCUUCUUUGUUUUACUCAGCUUUAGUUUCGGGUUAAAAUUGAGAUUACAAUAUCAUAACUCAAAAAUAAAACCCCUAUACUAUUAGAUAAUAAAAAAUGCUCUUGUGAGAUUAUAAAGAAAUUCCAAACGAACCUAUUGCCUUGUAAACAUUAUUUACAUAACCCCAUUUACCUUGAGGAUUAGGAUCCUCAAAUAAAAUCCCACAAUGACUCAAAGAAUACAAGUCCAGUCUUCCCAAAGAAAGCAAAAAUGUCAAGUAGCUCGUUACCUCAAAAUGAAUCCGUACAUUACAGCAAACUAACUUCCUACGAGUUAUCGAACAAAAGGCAAAAUACUUUUUGUAAUUAUUUCUACUUUAAGCAACCACGUCAUUAUUAAUCGCAUAAUAAUAUAGUUUUUAAAGAAUAUCUUUGAAAGAAAUUUUAAUGGAAACAAUUUAGGGAUGACAAAAAAUUUCAUGGAUAACAAAGGUCGCAAUAUUAGGAAUAUUAUAUUUUAUAUUCUUGUUUUAUAAAAAAAAAGAUCAAGUAUGAAUAUAACAUUUUAUGCUCGUUGAUUGGACGGAUCAAGUAUGGGUAUAACAUUUUAUAUCUGUUGAUUGGACAAGUCGGGUAUGGGUAUAAACACUAAUACAUGCACCAACUCACUAAACCCCUUUGACUAUUGACAAUUUUUUUUUUUAUAUAUAUUUUAGAAGUUAAAAUUAAUAGUUAAAUCUAAUAAACAUUAAAGUAAAUAUUAUAGUAAAAUGUAAACAUUAACACUUAACAACUUAGUAAUCAGACCAACCAUUGUCCUAGUCUCCUAGACAUUUACUUAGAGAUUUUAGUCAUUUAAUGGGCUAGGUAUUUAUUAGAUCAUCUAAAAUUUUAUUCUAAUUGGAAACAAAUGAUAAUAGAACAAUGUUAAAAUCAAGGUCAGUUGAAAGUAUUGAAUGAUGGAGAAGAAAAUGUCAAAGUGGAGAUUUUUGUUUUCGAUCCAAACAUUUAGUAAUACAUUGAUUAAAAUGGAACUUAACUUACAUGUAUUAAUUAAAAAGAAGGGAGAUAUAUAAGAGAAGAGAGAAAAAUAGAAUAAAAGAAGAAAGAGAGGAGAGAGAUAUAUUAAUGAAAUUAACUAUAUAUGUCAUUGAAUCUUGACCCUUAUUUUUUUUAAUCUAGUGAUUUAAAAAUUGUGUUAAAAAUUACACUGUUUGAACUGCAUUAUACACAGUAACACAGAGAGGAUCCAGCUACAUUACUGCCGGGUUACGUACCGCUAAUUUUGUCGUUUUUCACCACAACCGUUAGAUUUGAUUGAUUGUAAUCUAGCGGCAGGAAAUGAAACUGGAAAAAGAAUUGGAAGUAAGCUAUGUGCUACGCCGACUUUGGGAUUCUACACUAAUUUUAUGAUUUCUGACAGUAAUGGCAGUGGCAAGUGAGAACGUCGGAAAUCGGUUUGCAAAGUUCAGAUAAUAUUAAGAAAACCCAUGAAAGUUCUUUUCCUUUUCCAUGUUACAUUAAAAAUCAGAUUUUUUUAGAGCGAUUAAGAGCAGACCAAAGCGAAAGUUCCGAUUAUGCAAGUGAAACCUUCGAUUUCUUUUCUGAAACCGAAGUGGGUUUAAUAGGUUUCUUUGAUUUGCUGCAGAAAUUGCCUAUUUUAGAGAUACCGCCUCUAUUUAUGCUUCACUUUGCGAGAAACAGAGAGCUGCUCUGUUUAUUGUGGUAAUACUUGUAUAUUUUUUUUAUAAACUAUAAUGGUGGAAUAAUUAUUUCAUGAAACAUUAAGUUUAUUUUAAUAGGGCAAAACCGUAAAAGUAUUUCUGUUUAUUUAUUAUUAUUAUUAACAAAGGUAUAUAUAUACAAUAGCUUCUUCAGUUUUAGAUUAUGACUAGAUUAUCUACAUUCUACAAGUAUCAAAUCAGUGCUUCACUCCUGAGGAUCAAGGAGGGCAAACACGACCUAAGAUUCCAGAACCAUUGAUUUACCAAUAACAGCAUAUUUAGACCGAACAAGUUUAACUGGAAAAAUAUUGUUUUUAUCAAUUGGCUGGUGAAAGCCUGCUUCAACUUGGUUCUUAUCUUGAUCUUAUAUAUCACUUUGAGCAUCAAAGACGACUGUGAAAAGUGAAUUGCUUUUCACUCUCUCAUUAUUUUGUUUUUUCAAAGAUCUUCACGUGCUUUUUACCGGCUUAGUUGGUCCACAUAUUAGCCGACUUGUUUACUCUAUGGCCUUCAGAUCUGUCCACCUCCAAUCCAACAACUGCUACGGGGGUAACGUAGACUUAGCCUAUAUAUAUAUAUAUAUAUAUAAAUUAAAUUAAAUUAGAUAUAAUAUCAUAUCAUAUCAGAACAAUUCUUCCAACUUCCGAGGGUUCCAUAUGUUUGUUACCCUUGAGAAUUUCAAAUCGGCUCAAGUUGAAUGUUCAAACUUAAGAGGGAAGUAAGGGGAACCCACUUGGGGAGGUUCAAACUUUAACGGCUACUUAUUGUUGAUUCCUUGAAAAUUUAUGUACAGUUCUGUAGUUGGUACAAAAGGCAACCGACCACACCCUUUUUCCAGCUUGGCUUUGUGGCUCUCCACCACCAAUCAACCUUUCAUUGACCUUUUUCUGACCUUUAAGUAUGCUUCCCUUAGUCACUCUUACCCACCAUGACCCAAUCUUGAAAUUCACCGACAACCACAAGUCUUGAAAAAUAGCCCCCUAGCCAGUAGCCAAUUCUCAACUCAUUUUAGUGCCAGAAAGUGAUCGAAAGUAAGGAAAAGUGAUUGGUAGAAACCCACUUCUCUGUUCCUCAACCAAAGCAAAAACAAUGCAGCAAAAAAGACUACCCAUUUUGCAGAAGGUCUCAAAUAAUAUUCUAAAAACAUCCAUUUUCAUAGCCAGCAAAAUGAGGAAACCUAUUAUUGCCAAGCUCAUUUUGCACAACAAAUAUUCAAGAAAGCUUAAGAGGUUUAAGCUUAUUAAGCGUUAUAACUAUAGGUUUCUGGAGGAGUAUCAGUUCUCAGCUUCAAGCACUCCACUUAUUCGUUACCGCAGGAGAAAGUUGAAUAAGAACAGAUGUUUUCAGGACAUCUGUUCCAUGUUCUUUCUGUGUACAUGCUUUGGUGGUUUUAAAGUUCAAGGAGCAGAAGCUGCCGCAGUUCAUAAUAACUCUCCACCAUGUUCGUUGGCGCUGGAAACUCUGCCUGCUGCUGUUACUGGUGAAGUUUUUGAGGAGCCGUUGGAUUUGGUGGAGGAUGAAGAUGAUUCGGUUGAUCAGAGGGCUGAGAAGUUCAUUGAAUGGUUCUAUCAAGAAAUGAGACUGCAGAGGCAGGAUUCAAUUUAGGAGCCACUCACUUCAAUGACGGAUUCCUUUAUUAUUUUCUUACACGAAUUAAUUUUUGUUAUAUUUUCUCCGCAUGACUUUUACAGAUCAUGCAUGGAGAUGCUUUUUAUUUAUUUAUUUAAUUUUUUGUUAAUUUUUAUUCAUUGUCUAGUGCGAUUAUGUGUUGAAAGUUAAUAUGUAUUCUUUAAUUUGAGGAAAAAAAGUUUAUUAUUUAAUUGAAAUAAAUGAAAUCAAUUUUUUUCUUUUUCUUUUUCUUUUUCUUUUUCUUUUUCUUUUUUCUUUUUCAAUUCCAAGAUGUUACGAGAAAUCCAAUAAAUGGCAAAUAUUUAUGAACCAUCGCAUAUAACUAUAAAUAUUAGAAUUUUUUUAAAAAAAGUAAAUAAAUAAAUAUUAGAGAUCCAAUGUUUGCUUACUCCCAGUCCCAUGUGUUUGAAGGCUGUUUCUCCAACACUGCAAUCAUUAUUAGAUCUUAUUUAUCUACACUAGCUUGUGUUGAAGAUUGUUUAGGCGUUACUACAUUAAAUUAACUCAAACUAAAAAUGGUUUUUUUUUUUUUUUGGGUAAAAGUAAACUUACUAAAAGUUUACAUUUUCAUAUCUUAAUUCAAAUCUAACGUAAUUUUCCUGUACUUUUUGCAUCGUGUAGUUUUGAAAAGAUCUCCCGUGUGUCGGAGGAUUAUUGAUUAAAUUCUCCACAAACAAUAACUCUUUUAUCUUUAUAGCUCUUCUUUCAUAAAAUUACAAAAAAAUGACAAGAAAAUUACGCAAUCAUAUUUUACUAUCAUCUAGAAUAAUUUAACUAAAUUAUAAACAUUUUUUUAUUAUAAAAAAAUUAGUAUUAAGUAAUUUAUUUCUUCAUUGGUUCAAUUUUUUUAUUUUAUUACAACAUAAUUAUAUCAUUUAUUAGGAUUUAAAGAUAAUUAAGGUUCAUUAUUUGAAGACAUUUUAGCUUAGUUAAAUUCAUAAUAAUCAUUUUAUGUAAUUUCUUCUAGCAGCAGAACCAGGGUUAAAAAGAUGGAGUUUUAUAAAAUUAUUAGAGGGGUGAAAGCGUUGAUCUUCAUCGUUUUCAUUGAGUGCCCAACCCACAGAUGAUGCAUAACCCAACUACCAAAACCCAAUCUCAAUUGAUUCCGAAAUCCGAUCGAAGCUAUUUUUCUUUGCAAAUUAAAAAUUAAAAAGGGUAAUUUUCUGAGCCUCCCCUGAUUCUCAUCAUAUUUGCAGUGACCCUGACCUUAGUAUUCUCAUAGACCGUCUGUUGACUAACGAAAUGACCAAAAUACCCCUUGACUUAAAAUUAAAAACAAAACAUUUUUUAUAUUCAGAUUAAUGUACAAUUGGUUAACAUCAUUAUAUUUGUUUUGGCGCCAAAACAUAUUAACACAAUGAAAAUACCAAAUCACCCUUCCAAAAAGAUUAAGCUGAAUGAGAUAAAAUAUUUGAAUUUUUUUUAAAAAAAAAACAGGUGAAACCUGAAUUUUUUAAACAGAAAAAAUGUUGAAAUUUAACUACAACUUUCUUCUCAAACUCAAGAUACAAAAUAAAGCAUUCAUCUUCCUUCAUCAUUCAUCAGUAUCAACUAGUUACAAACUCUUUCAAUAAAAAUGAAGAGACACCAUAAGGCAUAAAUUUUGAACAUUUAUCAAUAAAUCUGCAACAUCAAUGGCACGCUAAAGAGCAGUGGCUUUGUCCUCGCACUCUUUUCGCUUGUCAUUUCAGCCACAGCAAUCCAUUUCCUUAGCUUAUCCACAUCUUUGUAUGAAUAGUUAAUGUCAUAGCAUGUUGCAGUUGGCAAGUUUAUAGUUCUAAGAGCAACGGCAAUGUCCUUAUCACCACAAAACCAAGAUGGACAAGUUCAUGAAACCAACCAAAAAAAAAAAAAAAAAACUGAGACAAACCAAAUUAAGAAUAAACCUUUUUGACAUUAUUCCUCUGCAUGUCAACAAGGAUAAUAUGCUCUGCACAUUGCUUUUCAUCAUUCAAAAUCUCCUUUUCAAACACUAGAUCUUCUUUAGCAGUCUUGCCUCGUCUAAUAGUGCCAAGGAGUUGAUUAAUAAUCUUUCUCUAUAAAAGGUGAACAUCCGCAAUCAUCACAGCAAUGCAAAUAAAAAUUCUAGUAGUAGAAAAUUAUAAAUCCAGGGUCAACUUGUAGAAGCACAGAGUGGGAAACAAAUCUUGUAUGGUCAUUAUGUAUUCCUAAAAUCAAAACUUAAGGGGAAAGAAGAAAAAAAAUGUGAAAUCAAUCAUCCCAAAUUCCUUCCAGUAUUACUAACCUUCUUCACACAGGUAAGAAUUUCUGGGCUAGAAGCAACCAGUAUACAGCAUCUAGUAUGAUUAGAGAAAUAAAUAAAUAACCAAAAAAGCUUGGAAACUAAAUAUUGUUUCUCCAAACAAAUAGUAUUAAGGAAAAGUAGGCAAACUUGUAACUAAGUCAUGUAUGGACUUGGAUUAACAAUCCUCCAUGCUUCAUAUAUUUCAAAUGGAGUCUGCAAGAGUUUGCCUUUUAUAAAGCUGACUUAAUACGAUCUGGAAAAUGUCACCAGCAAAGGAUAUGCUCCUUGGCAUGCAAUUCAGCCUCCUAGUGUGCUUCACUUGUCAUGCUUGACCAAUCCAAUUUCGGACUUAAGUGACGACUGUGUACCCUUAUUGAACCUGAGUGGGGCCAUGAUCUGAAACUGCAUUAUAAACAAAAUGUCAAAACAGUUAAGUUGAAGAAACAACAGUGAAGUAAAUGAUAUUAAACAUUAUGAAUUGAAAGACAACAAUUUGCAGGAUUUUAAUGCAAGAGUCCACGUUUAAUAGUAAUAUGCUUCAGGUCAAUAUAAUUAUCCUAUCACAAAUCUAUUCUAGUUUUCCACAUUCAAUAACCCCUACUUCAUAAUUUCAGUGCAUGCCCCAAUAAAGCCGUGUAUCCUUCAAGAAUAGCGCCUAUAUGCACUUCAAGCUAUCUUCAACAUGCAUUCUCAUGUUUAAUUUAACUAUAACUAUCAUGAAUCUGUGGGAAAAAAAAAAAAAAAUCAGAAGAAACAACUAAAAAUCUCAAACAAUUUUCAAGACCCAUUUUCUAUCAAUCAAUCAAUCACAAGGCAGCAGAGACACCUAGCUUUAUCUUCAACAUGCUUUUGCAGUACUCGUUUAACUACAACUAACGUUAAACAAUGGGAAAAAAAAAUUGAAGCAACAGCAAAAAUCUUAAACCAUUUUCAAGAUCCAUUCCUCAAAUUUUUCACCAAGACUACCAAUUUCAGCGAAUAAACCUAACAUGCAUUGAUCAUACCUCAUUCGCGGCUUGAAAACAGUGGGAUGAUUGGCCGGUCGCAGACGAAAGUCACCGGCCAGUACUCUCUCUUACCUCGCGGUCGUGAAUUGUUCGUAGCCGAUAUUAGAGUCGUCAGCUUCGUCAUGGUCUUUAAUCUGUGGCCAAAGUACUUGAUCAAAGCAUUAGAGGGAAACUAAAACGGAUUUUGAGCAAGGUUGCUUCGGAUUUGUGGAGUAAAGAGAUGAGCAUUUCUUAUUGUGUUAAUAGUGUUUGGUGUAAUCAGGGGCGGAUCCAGGAUUUGAAAGUACCCCGGGCCAAAUUUAAAAGGAAGGUUAUAUUGUAAAGUGAACAUAAAAUUUUAUAAGAAAAAAAUAAAAUACACAUAAUAAGAUAAGAGCAUUAGAAAUCUUACACUAAAUAAUAAUUACUUUAAACAAAAUAAUUAUAUAAAAAUAAAAAAUAAAAAUGUAGUCAAUACAAAAAUAUAAUAAAAAUUGUACUUUUCGCGGCUUCAAACAAUAAAAUUCAUCAAUUAUGGAUUCUGGAACAAUAGUAUCUGCAAUUUCUCUUUCAACAUAGACAACCAUACAAUUUGAAAGAAACUCAUUUUUCAUCUUAUUGCGAAGUGAUGUCUUGAUAAGGCUCAUGGCUGAAAAUGCACGCUCUGUUGUGGCUGUAGACACUGGAAGAGUCAACACUAGACGAAUUAAUCUAUCAAUCAAGAAAUAGUGUUGUGACUUCUUUGUUUCAAUUAAUCGUCGACAUAACUCAGAAAGUGAUGCAACUUGUUGAAAAAGUGGAUGAGAAAGCACAUCAAACUUGUAAUGCUCCAAUUCUCUUCUCAAAACAAAAAUCUCAUUUGCAGUGAAAUCAUGAGGAUAAAAUUUCUCAGCAAGACAACAAAUACGAUCUAUAUCAAAUAAUUUAAACCC
rnacentral:lncRNA from 1 species